CUUACUGCCUUGGAGGCUGCUUCCACUCUGGGUAGCCCAUGCUUGGAGCACAAAUGAAGGUUAUACGCAGUGUGGCGUGAGCAUGUCAUGAUGUGGACAAAUCCUUCAUGCCCCUAGAUUCAAGGUACAAGGAAACAAACUGAGGAUAGUGGGAUAGGAGACCAAAUUCGGUGUGGUUCCAGCAAGUCCAUGCAAUUGGAAAGUAUAGGUAAGAUCAAGUAUGUGGAGUAUAUAAUUUAACAUCACAAUAUAAAAUUACAUAAAAACUGAAUACCUGUUUUACUGUCACCUUAAGUAGAAGUUGGCGAUUUAGAGGUUAUUGGUGCACAACACACAGGGAUCAGAUGGUGAGGAGUUUCUGGUGACUACUCAAGGGUCAUUUCACCUGCUUAUACUUUGCUUGGAAAAUGUAUUUUACAGGAUAUUUCUGAUGACCUCAUUCUCGCUAAACCAUAAACAUUGCGGAAGCAAAUCAUCAUAUAUGGUGCCACUGCAAUUAAAGUGCAUUGUGUGGGGAUGCUGGAUGCUACAGUCUGUAAGCAUAUUGAGAUGCUGAGUGGUUGUUACUAAUAUAUAUUAAUACCUAUUACUCAUACAUGUGUGGUGUGUGAGGCGAGUGGAAAGAGAUAUCAAGUAUGUCCUGAUCCAGUAGAAACGCUGUACAGUUCAGUCCCUGUAUUGUCUUAACGUGGUUUCUAAUAAUAAUAAUUUAACAUACCUUCUGUGAGUCCAUCUUUAGAAUCAACAGCCUAUUUCUUUGCCUACAGACACUCAUGAUGUAACUCCAACCCUACCCCAUAUCUUUAACGCUUAAAGGAAAAUUAAACUUUUGGCCAUUUUACAUUUUAGUUGUCAUGUAUUAAAAUUAACCUGAUGAUCUAGUUUGUAAUGUAUCUACCAAGUAUCAAUGCAUAUGGGAUUUAAAUCUGGCUUUGAAGGAGAGAACACACUUUACUCUUAUAAGACAAAAUAGGGUCCCAAGGUAGCAAUUUCAGAUCAAUGAAAGAUUUAAAUAAAUGUAAACGUGGCACUUGUUAUACUAAACUUUAAGCACUAACAUACAUUAAAUUUACUAAACAUAAAAACACAUCUUUCAUGAUAGAUUUCUUGCAAAUCUUGUUUGGUUUAAAUAAACAUAUCAAGUAACUGCUUUAAUACAUUAAACAGAUCCAUUCCACUGGUUUGGCUUUCAUCACACAAGACUUUAUUUGAAAGGAAACAGAAGCCAUUUUUAAAUAGACCAUGCAAAUGGGGGAUACAUUUUUCGUGCACAUAUUUGCAGUUUUAUGGUACAUGGGUAAGAGCAAAAGAAAUCACUUUCGGGAAAAAAAAUAAGAUUUAAAGCUUACAUCCCCAAAUAUGAGAUGUGUUUUAUAGAAUAAAGAGUGGCCGCCCAUUGGACGAACGUUGGUUUAGUUUAUCACUGUAAGCAAAAAGGUACGUCAUUGCAACCAAUUAAGUCUGAUGCUUGCCAGAACUAUUUACCCUAAAUGAACAUAAUAUGACCAUAAACACAGCAGGCCCAAGAGUCUACUCAUCUCAUGUAAACGAGCCUGCUAAAUGUAAAAGUUACACAGGUGACAUGUAAAGCCUGACUUGUAAAUCAGGAACCAUGUGCAGACCUGAUUCUAAUGAAAAUAGAAGAGUUAGAUGUACUAUGGCCAAAAAUAUUACUCACUAAACAGUGAACUGAUGCAUUUUGACAAUAUAAAAACAAAAUAGUCUGCACAGAUUUUUUUCAAAUUGCUUGCUUUUGCACUGCAAUUCAGUUUUCACAGGGUAAUUCAAGAAAUCGAGAAUCAUAUUUGUUAUGGGCGCUCUACAGAUCGUUACGGAUUACCCUGUUUAUUUUACCGUAUACCCUGUUUCGAUAGCUAUACUGUAUAAAACUCAUUCCACGAACAGUCAGGACUAUGUAUUUGUGCAUACAAACGACAGACCACCUGGCCCUUGGCGUGUGCCGCCACUUAACCUUUUUCACCUUUAAAACAACCGAACAACCGACCACCCUACGAGCGGAGUGUGCUUCUAAUUGACUACCGGGAAGCUGCAGUCUGCAAUUAACCGCAAGCCUAAUUGACUGUCUCAGGGUGGCCUCAUUCGUGUAAUAAUUCACCGAACUGAAACUCACGAAUGACUCCUGAACGAGGACCACCUACAUCCUGACGUGUGGCCCCAAUUAGAACGUUGGGUCUGCGGUUAACCGCAAGUUAAGUACCCCCCUUCAUUGUGCUCUCUGUUCGGCUCACGAAGGGCUGGGACAACCAUCCUCUGAGAGGUGUUCGCGCAAUUGUUCAGCUGCUACUCGCUCCAUGGGUUUUAGGUGCAGGUCCUGCUCUCUAUUCACCAACAUGAAAACAUGGCCGCCAUCUUGUGUUCAGGACAAAAAGGCAUGAAAGGACUUUGUAUUGAAGAGACUAGCUAAACCGUUUGUAAGAUCUGAGCGCUAUUCACCUAUCUACUGCGCUCAGAUCUGGGCUAUCUAACGAAUGGUGGAAUGCAAGAUGUGUCUAUUAAAAUGUUAUAGUUAUAUAUUUUUAUUCUGUUUUAUAUGUUACAAUAAAACGUGGGAUUUUGGGCGCUUUGAGAUAAUUAAAUUGUCAUAACCGUUAGAGUCAUUAUCUCCAAGCGGGGCGGUGACCAUUUCAAAUGAUACACUGUAAUGCCAUUGGUCAACUGUUUGUAUUGUCCCUGUAUCCCAUCAGGUCCAGAGGGACCUGGGGUUUUGCAUAAAUAGCGAUGCCUGUGUGCCAUUAAACUCAGUUUGUUUUGACCCUCAAAUUGCAGCCUCGACUCGUUUUGUGGGAACAAGGGUAUCCUAGCUGUACCAUAGCUAGUGGGAUUGCUUUAUAUUUGCAGGAUACUUGUGGUAUGCUGAACUGAACGGCGCUUCUUUCUCUCCACACUCAGGAACCAGGACAUCCAAGCAGUCCAGCCUUCAGCUAGCUUGGAGGUAACCGUAACAAUAUUAAUCUAACAUUCAGUUGUAGUGUGUAUGGUGCUAUAAGGCUGUAGGCCCUUUCUCCUGGUUUUGAGUUAAUUCAUGUUCAAGCAGUAUGAUCGAAAUCAAGGUGCUUGUGGCCUGGCUAUAUUUUGGCUGCAGUGAUAGGCUGUACAUGUCUGACAACGGUGGGAUUUUGAGUUCACCGUUAAACCUGGCAGAAACAUUUAGUAUUAUUAUUUAUUACAAUUUAUUAUGGAGUACACCUCAAAUGCCCAGUAGCAGAUGCAAGGGGACAUUUCCUUCAUAUUACCAGUGGGAACCCAAUAUAUUCACAGCUGAUUAUGGUAUUAAAAACAAAAUGAAACAUGGAUUGCUUACUUCCUCCAAAAAUUGAGUGGGAUCUUCAGAGUCUCCUAGUGACCAUUAAAUGUAUUGUGUGCAGCCAUGGCAUUCCCCUCUACCUCACAAUGCAAUGGAUUGAUUUUAUCACGUAACAUAAUGGUGUACCAGAAACAGGGCCGGUGCACAGAUUUUUGGCAAUACAGGUGAGGAUGCACUUUGCUGCCCAUCCCUCCAAAAUAAAAUGCAUCUUCAUCUGUGUUUCUCUUUCUCCCCUUUCCCAGCCCCUCUGUAUACUCUGUAUAUCUCUUCCCACCAGCCCCUUUGUGUGUGUCAUUCUAACCUUCUUCAGCCCAUCUGUGUGCCUCUCUCCCAACCCCUUUGUGUGUCUAUUUUUCCCUUUCCAGACCCUCUGUGUAUCUCUCCCCCAGCCCCUUUGCAUGUCGCUUUCUCCACUUCCCCAGCCCAUAUGUGUGUCUGUCCCCUAGCACCUUUCUGUGUCUCUUUGUCCCAUUCUCCAGCCCAUCUGAGCAUUUGUGUCUCCUUCCUCAAUCCCACUGUGUGUUUCUUUGCCCCCUUCCAUAGCCCCUCUGUGUGUGUCAUUGUCCCCUUCUCCAGCCCCUAUGUGUGUCUCUGUGCCCUCGUUCCCAGCCCCUCUGAAUGCAGCGACUGAGCCCCUCCAGAGCAGAGAGUGCUGUAAGGAAGUGACUAUUUAUCUGUUACUUCCUCCCAGCUUACUGACCGUACGGGCUGGGAGGACUGUAGACACUCUGAGAGAGGAGGAGGGAAGAGAAAAAGCUCUGCAGGCAGACUCCCAUCCUAUCAGCCUCAGCCAGCCCCAGGAAUUUACCUCCCUGCAGCAAAAGGUAUGGAAACAGGGGGUGGUUAAUAAAAUGUCAAAUGCUAUUUGUGUGUCCGUGUGUAUGUUUAGGUAAGUGUUUCUGUGUGUCAGUGUGUUUAUGCUAAUGUGUAUGUAUGUGUGUUUGUAUUUGUGUGCUAGUAUGUGUGUAUCUGUGUGUGCCAGUGUGUCUAUGUGUAGGUAUGUGUAUCUGUGUGUAGUUGUGAGUGUCAGUGUGUAUCUGUGUGUGUGUGUAUCUGUGCGUAAACUGUACCAGUGUGUAAACUGUGUGUGUAUAUCUGUGUGUGCCAGUGUGUGUGUGUGUGUAGGUAUGUAUGUGUGUGGGAGGUGGGAUCGUUAUCCUAUCUAGCAAGAUGUACAUAGAUGAGGCACAUAGACAACUACAUGAUACAGAAAAAUAUAACAAACUACCCUCUGACCCCACCCCUACCAUCCAAAUCACCCUAUCCACUUUUUUACAAAAAGGUUUGGAUUCUGGCAUCCUAACCAAAAACGAAUACAACUAUCUUAACAUCAAAUACCCUAAACUCCCUGUCAUAUACUUUUUACCAAAGAUACAUAAAAAUAUUAAUAACCCCCCUGGCAGACCCAUCGGGUCAGGGAUAAAUUCCCUACUCUGCAAUCUGUCAGAAUACAUUGACAUACUCCUCCAACCAUCCGUUAAAUUAAUGCGCUCUUACCUAAAAGACUCUAUGUCACUACUACGUUUUUUAGACAAAUUCAAAUGGCAAACUAAUUACAUUUUAGCUACUUGUGAUGUCCAAUCCCUAUACACGAUUAUACCCAGGGCCGGACUGGGAAAAAAAUUAGGCCCGGGCAUUUUUCAAUUAGAGCGGCCCCCCAAGAAGGGGGCGGGGCCAGAGAGGGUGUGUUUUGUCAUCACUAAUGACAAGUACGCCCCUUCUGAAAGUGAGCAUGUUGGUUCAAUGCGCAGAGCCCCGCUGAAGAGCUCUAGCAUUAGAAAAAGGCCCUGUAUUUGUUCUGCGCAGCACAAGCAAAUGUAAUAACAUGAUUGCGCUUUGUUUGCUUUUAAACUGUCUCUGGUGUCUCCACAAGUGGGAUAACAGAGGAUAAAAGGGCAAGGAAAGUGUAUGGGGCAUGUGUUUGGCGCAUGCUUGUGGGAUUGCCUGUGUGUGUAGAGUGUGGUGUGGUAUUGUGUAAAUAGGUCAAUUUUGUGGUGUAAUAUGUGUGGCUAGGGGCUGUAGAGAGUGCGUGUAUAGGGGCAUAGUGUCAUAGGGGAUGUAGCGAGUGUGUACAUACAGGCAGUAGUGUGUGUGUGUAUAGGUUACGUAGUGUGUGUAGGGGUUGUAGAGAGGGUGUGUUUAGAGAAUGUUGUAUGUGUUUGCUUACAAGGAAUGUAGUGUGUGUGUAGGUGGUGCAGCGUGUGUGUAAAGGACCCAGAGUGUGUAUAGAAGAUUGUGUGUGUGUGUAUGUGUAGAGGGUUAAGAGUGCAUAUAGGGUAAGGGAUCUAGCGUGUAUCUGGAGUGUAAUGUGUGUAGUGGUGCAGUGGGUGGGGUGCAGUAGUGAGUGUGUGUAUAUAUAUUUAGAAUAUAUUUGGACGUAUUGAAUGUGUGAGGUGCGCAGUGUUUGUGUAAGAGGGGUGCUGUGUGUGAGGGUGUUUUUAAUCUGCUGUCACAUUCUAGGUUUCUAAUUUUCUUUGUCUGUUAACUCACUGAGGGUUAUUUUAUAUAAUAUAUAUAUAUAUAUAUAUAUAUAUAUAUGUGUGUGUGUGUGUGUGUGCUGUAUAUGUGUGGGAGUGAGGGUGCUGUCUGUCUGAGGGUGCUGUCUGUCUGAGGGUGUUGUCUGCAUCUGAGGGUGUUGUUUGUGUGUCUGGGGGUGCUGUGUGUGUGUCUGGGGGUGCUGUGUGUGUGUCUGGGUGCUGUGUCUGGGGGUGCUGUGUGUGUCUGGGUGCUGUGUGUGUCUGUGGGGUGCGCUGUGCUGUGUGUGUCUGGGGGUGCUGUGUGUGUCUGGGGUGCUGUGUGUGUCUGGGGUGCUGUGUGUCUGGGGGUGCUGUGCUGUGUGUGUCUGGGGGUGCUGUGUGUGUCUGGGGGGUGCUGUGUGUGUGUCUGGGUGCUGUGGGUGUCUGGGGGUGCUGUGUGUGGGGUGCUGUGCUGUGUGUGUCUUUGGGGGUGCUGUGUCUACGUGCUGUGUGUGUCUGGGGGUGCUGUGUCUGGCGGUGCUGUGUGUGUCUGGGGGUGCUGUGUCUGGCGGUGCUGUGUGUGUCUGGGGGGUACUGUGGGUGUGAGGGGGCUGUUAGGGAAUUUAUUUUAAAUAUUUUUUAUUUUAUUUAUUAAUUUAAAAAAAAAAAGUUAUGUCCCCCCCACUUUAUCAUCGGGAGGAGAUCCGUUCUGCCUGGUGGGUGGGGUGGAGCCAUGCUGUUAUGCUUCCCUGGUGGUCCAGUGGUGAGAGUGGCAACGCUCAGAAUCCCGCGAGAGGACCCGGCGGAGCUGCUUGUUAGAGCUCCGCCGGUCCUCUCUCCUGCCUCCCUCCCCAGCUGGCGGCCGCAUCUCCCUGUCUGUGGGCCGGUGAGGGAGAUCUUUGAUCUCCCCACCGGCCCAUGGAGGCACAUAGCAGGGCUAAAGCUACCACGUGAUCCUGUGAUCUCCCUGCCGGCCUCGGCCCACGGCCAUCGCGGCCCACCGGGCAUUUGCCCGGUAUGCCCGAUGGCCAGUCCGGGCCUGGUAAUUACAAUUGCAGGGUUAAGGGGACAGGAGCACUGCACCCAGGUCACUUCAAUGAGAUGAAGUGGUCUGGAUGCCUAUACUGUUCCUUUAAAGAUUUUCGAAUUUGAGGCGAAAAGAGCAAAAGAUUCCCAAGUGAGCGAUGUUUUCAGUUUGAUUAUUUUGUCCUACAAAUGUGAAUUUAUGUCAAGUCACACUUUACUGAAUAAUCCUGUUGAUGUGAUAAAUAACUGGUACCAGACUGUUUAUAAAGCUACCACGUGACCUGGAGUCACAGGUAAAAAGGUUUUUAUUACCAUAUCAUUUUUACACAAGAUGUUGUCAUGUGAGCUUUGUAGCCGAUCAACAAUGAUCACAUGACCAGACAGGAAGUGGAGGAGUCCAGCAUGGUGUGUGGUGAGUUAGAGAUUGCAUAAUGUUAGGAAAGAAGUAUAUACAGAGAUACAGAAAUAGUUAAACUGUCUUCAAUGCUCUGAGCUGUGUACACGUACAUCAGGGUUACUUUAUAUUACCCAAUCCCACGUAUGUUACCUGUGUGCACACUAUCUGGUAGAAUUAUGUCCUGAUUUGUGUAAACUAUUAAUGGUAUUAUUACAUGUGUACAUCCUAUCAGGAUGCAAGUGAUUCCUUAUAUUACUAAAACCAGUAAAUGCUACCCAGAGAUUAGUGUAUUCAUGUCACAGCAUCUAAUGCAUGUACCUAUUACUCCAGAGGGCUAGUUUGCUUUUUAUUGAUCAUGUAAAGAUCUUCCACUUAGCAGUGCGUACAAGUGUCACAAGUUUUAAUUUGUAAUUUAAAGGAACACUAUAGUGCCAGGAACACACAAUGUAUUCCUGACACAAUAGAGGUAGAAUAACAGUUUAGGGUCCUGGCCCCCUCUCUUUGCUUUAAAAAGGUGUUUUUACUCACUUUAUUUCCAAUGCUGUGGCUGAGAUGAGAGCAUUGGGAGGCUAUUGCGCAUGCACUGCAAAACACAGUGCUGUGCAAAUCAGCAUCUCCUGGUAGAAAUGCUUGGAAUCAUUUAGUGCAUCUUCAUGGGCAAAGAUCAGUAUUUCCAUACAGAGCAUGGAGACACUGAACGUCUGUGCAGCACUCGUCCAGGAAGCACCUCUAGAGACCGUCUGAGUGACUCCAACUUGAGGCAGCAAAAAAGGCAGUGUUUACAUUAAAAAGCUUGCAGAGACUGGCUAUAGACACCAUAACAACUACAUUAAUAUAGUGUUCCUUGAAUACAUAUCACAUGAGCGUGCCAUAUAUCUUUAUAUUACAUAUCUCCCUUGUGUCCCUAUUCAGGUCCCAAAUACCUCUGUCCCUCUUUACUAUCCUAAUGCCCCUCAUUUCUAGGAGCUCCAUAUUUUUGGUGUGUCUGAGUGUAUAACAGAGCUCCACAGCAAUAACACUCCCAGUAAUGUGUCUUUAAACAACAAUAAAUGUUUAGAAAUGUGUUUAAAGGACCACUAUAGUGUCACGAAAACAAACUCGGUUUCCUGGCACUAUAGGGUUAUUAGGUUCCCCCCUCCCGCUGGGCUGCCAUUUACCUUUCUCCGGCGGUGGGCUCCCUCGGCGCUUGUGACCUCUCCUCUCCCUGCCGACGUCAGCUCUGAAUGCGCAUGUGUGGCCAGAGCCACGCGCACAUUCAAACCGCCCAUAGGAAAGCAUUACUCAAUGCUUUCCUAUGGACGUCCAGCGUGAGUUCAAUGCAAUUUUCGCAUUAAGGAUCGCGGAAGUGCCUUUAAUGGCUGUCAGGGAGAAAGCCACUAGAUUGGAUUAACCCUCAAUGUAAACAUAGCAGUUUCUCUGAAACUGCUAUGUUUUCAGCUGCAGGGUUAAAACUAGUGGGACCUAGCACCCAAGACCACUUCUUUGAGCUGAUGGUCUGGGUGCCUAUAGUGGUCCUUUAAUAUUGGGUUUUGGGGGAGUAGAACCAUGGGGGGAGCAGUACUGCAGGCACUAUAACACUUUUAAUAAGAUGAAGUUGUUAAAGUCCAUUCAGUGUCCUUUUAAAGGGUUUCUCCAAGCACCGUGACCACUUCUGUGAUUUGAAGUUGUUAUGGUGCCUGUAGUCUGUAUGUGCAGGAUUUUGCUAUUAAACACUGCACAUAUGGAGUUUAACACCUUAAGGACCAAACUUCUGGAAUAAAAGGGAAUCAUGACAUGUCACACAUUUCAUGUGUCCUUAAGGGGUUAAACCCUUUGAGGCGUCAUUGGCCAGAACGGAGAAAGAAUUACGGGCUGGCUGGCUGACUAAUGUCUAUUCUGUGCAUACUUCUAUGUACAGAGUUACAUUUAUUGGCUGUGAGUAGUCAGUUGAGGCUCUCAGCCAAUGAACGGCUGGUGGGGUAUGUCACCAGGUAUAGAGGAUACCUGGAGCCUCAGUGAGACCCAGAUAAGAGGACAGACCUUCACUGGGAAACAAAGCCAGGGUACUCCAGACGUCAUAACCACUACAGCGGGAUGUUUGGCAACCAUUCCACAAUCCAUUUGUUUAUUUUCCUGCAGAAACAUUUACGUAAUUGGUAAAUACGCUUUUUGUGUAGAUAGAGAAAAUAAUUCAACUUGAAUUUGCAAUUCUUAUUUUUACUAAAUUGGCAAAUCCAAAUAUUUGGUUAUUUCAAGCAACGUGCACCAUCUCAUUUUGUACAAUUCUGCUUUAAAUUCAGUAAUAUGCAGAUGCAAACCCCAAAUAAAAUAUAGGAUUUGAGCUAUGGCAUCCCAGACCCUAAAGGCUUCAUCGCAUCCUACAAAUUUACCAAGAGACUUGCCACUAGGCCCUCUGCCAUUCCCCAUGAGCAAAUUCCAGACCAGAAUUUUAUCACAUGACAGGAGGCUUCGUAUUUUGUAUAAUCUUUCUUUACUAACUCCAUAGCAGCAAAGAAAAGAGUGACAAAACUGAGAACCAAUCACAAUGCAGUAUAGAGUAUAAGAGGUGAAACAUAUGACAUCAUUUCCUCUUUCUUUGCUGCUCCAUCACAAAAUAAGUACAGAUUUUGGUUUCUUCUCUCUGUUCUUACACUUCUAACUGUGAUUUACAUAAUCAUUUUCUGACUAUUCUAUUACUACCCAGCUUGUAUUUCUUGGGACUAACCCCUCUGUUUCUGGGCCAGGGACGCCACGACCUUUUCCCCCUAUCCCGUUUACAGGAGGUCUUACCGGCAUUCUUGCCGUCUUCACCUCUACUCCCCAGAGCCAAAUCUCUCUUUGCGGUAUUUUCCCGCCUUUCAACGUCGUUCGCAUGUUCUUUCGCUUCACGAACGGCACUUAUCUUACCGUUCAUUCGCGUAGGUACGUUUCACUUGCCGAACGCCUAUCAUUCGGCAAUUUUCCCGCGAACGUCUUGUAUUAGGCGCUCGCGUUCAUCUAUUCAUGCGCCGAACACCCGCACCAUCUAUUGGCGCUCGCGUUCAGCUAAUUCCUGUGCACGAACGCCCGGCUCUACCUGGCGUUUGUGUAAUUCCUUUUGCCGCCCUAACAUCUAGGGGAGGUACUAAAACCUCCCUGUGACGAGACCAAUCUCGCCACAUUGCAUUGGAGAAGCCUGGUUGCUCGCCUGCUGCCUUUGGACUAUGGCCCCCUGUUAAAAGACAUCUUUUUUACCUGCAGAAAAGCUUCAUUUGUGCUUUUCUGCCUGGGGUUCGGUAGAUUUGUUUGAACGUGUUAUACCCCAGAUAGGAAUCCCAUGGAGCCCAUUCGUAUGAAACUGACUGUAAAGACUUUGGCUCCAUGGCGAUUAAACUGUAUUCGUGUGGUCUGAGCGCCAUUCACUUAAUAAUGUGCGCUCAGACCUGAGCUAUCUGGGGAUAUGUUAAAUGUAUAGUUUUCAUGUAAUGUGUCUUACCUGGUGUAUUUUAACAGUAAUGCUUGUUUUGUGUCCCCAUGUGCAUAAUGGAGUCUUGUCUCUGUCCUGGGAGAUAAUUUAAUUACUUCUCAAUUAUCUCCUGGGCAGAGGAGAGGAAGCCAGGAUGCAUUGUGGUAAAAAGUGUAUGUGUAAUUGGGUUACCUCUCAGGAUAAGGGGGGGGGAAUCUGUGGGUUGUAACUAAUAUGUUCCUGGAUAUUUUAUACCUCCCUGUGGGCGGUCCUGUAUUUGCAAGACUGUAAUAAAAACCAAGCUGGGUGUGCCAGCACCUCAGACCACUGCUUGACCCUCAACACAGAGCCUUGUCUCGUUCUUGGGGGGAUUCACUGUAUGCUGUUAGAGACUGAUUGCCAGGAGUGUAAGCUGAUUGUCUGUUUUUCCUGUUCGUCUGCUAGCAGCUAUUUGGGAGGUUCCAGUUCUGGAGUUGGAGUGCUAUUUUGUAUCCAGUUCGUGAGUUUUGGUGUUCUGCAGUAGCUGUGCCUGGAUCUCUGGAAAGGGGGCCGAUCGCCUAAACGGUUUUACCCCUUGUGUGCAAAACGGUCCGUUACAAUUGGUGGCAAGCGGCGGGAUCGUUCCUACAGCCAGAAGGACAGCUACAGGAGACACCAUUUCUUUGGAUUUACAAGUUAAGGGCAACGCAUGUCCUAGUACAGCGACCCUGACAGCACCAGGAUGGAACCAGCAGUGGAGUACAGCUACUCUAUGAGAGAGUAUGACCGGAUGGUGUGGUUUCACCUAAGCUUCUUCGGAUCCAACCCACUGGAGAGAUCGGUGCGGUUCGUGAGGAACCUAGUGUUCGAGAGGCUGCAACAACGGGCAGAAAGAGAAGGUCAGUUGGCACGUUGGGAGAAACUCCAGCGGCAGAUACAGCAGGGAAUUUGGAGCCCAAUCUCCACUCCCCAGCGGCAGUGUGAUAUGCCGGGAAUUGGGAGCCCAGUAUCCAUUCCCCAGUGGCAGUGUAAAGUGCAGGGAGAGGAGAGCAGCGUCCUACCUCCCCAGCGGCAGGCUGAGUUACAGGGGGCAGAGGUAGUUGUUCCUGCCCCCCAGCAGCCAAGUGAUAUGCCGGGAAGGCAGUGUGAAGUACAGGGAGAGGAGAGCAGUGUCCUCCCUCCCCAGCGACAGGCUGAGUUACAGGGGGCAGAGGUAGUUGUUCCUGCCCCCCAGCAGCCAAGUGAUAUGCCGGGAAGGCAGUGUGAAGUCCAGGGAGAGGAGUCCUCCCUCCCCAACGACAGCGUGAUUUUCUGGGAAUUGGGAGCCCAGUCUCCAUUCCCCAGCGGCAGUGUGAUGUGCCGGGAAUUGGGAGCCCAGUCUCCAUUCCCCAGCGGCAGUGUUAUUGGUUGGGAAUUGGGAGCCCAGUCUCCAGUCCCCAGCGGCAGAGUAUCCAGCAGGGAACAGAGAGCCCAGUCUCCCUUUCCCAGCAGCAGGACACUGUAUUGGGAGCGGAGACAGUCGGUCUCCCUCCACAGAGGAUGAAAGUAUGUAUGGAAGAGGAGCUUGCUACCACCUCUCCCCAGCGGGGGAUCAUUAAUGGGCAGGGAAUAGAGAGCUCGGUCUCCUUUCCCCAGCAGCAGAGUGUUCUAUCGGGAGAGGAGCCUGUUACCCCCUCUCCCCAGCGACAGCUUAGAGUAUCCAAAGGGGAGACAGUCGGUCUCCCCCUCCAGCAGCAGAGCUGUAUAACCAAAGGGGAGACAGUCUGUCUCCAGCAGCAGAGCUGUGUAACCAAAGGGGAGAUAGUCGCUCUCCCCCUUUUAAAACCAGGCUUCAACCAGGCUACCCCCUCAGUAGCGCUGGCAACAGGGCAGAGUGCCGCUGGUCUCUGCCCACGCAGCACCCCACCAAGUCAGCGUACCCGUACCCAGCACAGCCGUGGUGAGGCACCUGGACAUGGACAAGCUUCUCCUCUACCCAGGUGUAGUAACCAUUUAUUGUGGGUGGGCUGUGCUGUUGAUUGUGUUUUGUGGGUGGGCUGCUGGACUAACAAGGGCACUGACCGGCAGGAGAUCAGAUACCCUGUUAGUCUGUUUGGAGACCAAUCUCGCCACAUUUGCAUUGGAGAAGCCUGGUUGCUCGCCUGCUGCCUUUGGACUAUGGCCCCCUGUUAAAAGACAUCUUUUUUACCUGCAGAAAAGCUUCAUUUGUGCUUUUCUGCCUGGGGUUCGGUAGAUUUGUUUGAAUGUGUUAUACCCCAGAUAGGAAUCCCAUGGAGCCCAUUCGUAUGAAACUGACUGUAUUAAUAUAAAGACUUUGGCUCCAUGGCGAUUAAACUGUAUUUGUGUGGUCUGAGCGCCAUUCACCUAAUAAUGUGCGCUCAGACCUGAGCUAUCUGGGGAUAUGCUAAAUGUAUAGUUUUAAUGCAAUGAGUCUUACCUGGUGUAUUUUAACAGUAAUGCUUGUUUUGUGUCCCCAUGUGCAUAAUGGAGUCUUGUCUCUGUCCUGGGAGAUAAUUUAAUUACUUCUCAAUUAUCUCCUGGGCAGAGGAGAGGAAGCCAGGAUGCAUUGUGGUAAAAAGUAUGUGUAAUUGAGUUUCCUCUCAGGAUAAGGGGAGGGAAUAUGUGGGAUGUAACUGUGAUGUGAUUGGUUGUUUUAUACCUCCCUGUGGGCGGUCCUGUAUUUGCAAGACUGUAAUAAAAACCAAGCUGGGUGUGCCAGCACCUCAGACCACUGCUUGACCCUCAACACGGAGCCUUGUCUCGUUCUUGGGGGGAUUCGCUGUAUGCUGUUAGAGACUGAUUGCCAGGAGUGUAAGCUGAUUGUCUGCUUUUCCUGUUCGUCUGCUAGCAGCUAUUUGGGAGGUUCCAGUUCGGGAGUUGGAGUGCUAUUUUGUAUCCAGUUCGGGAGUUUGGUGUUCUGCAGUAGCUGUGCCUGUAUCUCUGGAAAGGGGGCCGAUCGCCUAAACGGUUUUUACCCCUUGUGUGCAAAACGGUCCGUUACACUCCCCAUUACAGUUCAGCGGACAUUUUAAACGGCUAUUGCUGUCCUGUUGCAGACUCCAGGCGAUUCUCUGCCAGAUACUAGACAUUCUUCUGAAUUCUGCCUCCUUUUAUAGCUCACUGUGGGACCAGUAUCAGGUUAGUGCUUUGCACUUGGGGUCGGUUUCAGCCAGUUGGAUUAUCCUUAUUCUGGCCGGGGUGAGCCCCCAUUCUUGUGCUGCUGAACGGACCUGUCCAUGCAGGAUUCUGAAUUCCUGGGUGAGCCCCAGUGACAGCCCUCACUACCCUACUUGACCUACCAGUUACAUACCCUCUCAGGCUAACCAUUACCUAAUACCAUACCACCCCCUGGUCCCCAGGCCUCUCCAUUUAUUCGUGCCACAAGUGCCCUCACGCAUAUUCACCGGGUGAGCCCCGAGUGUGAUUAUAAAACCAUGGAAGAAUCACAAAACCCCUCAGAUCUCCAGGCCAUGAUUGCAGCAGCUGUAGCUGCGUCUAUGGAAAAGGCCUUUUCUAAAUCGUUCCAACCAGAACAGGACGCAUCUAAGCCCAUCCCCAAGCGGGCUCACUAUGGAGCGGAUUCUGAGGACUCUGAUUCCUCCAGAGAACGCUCCCACCCCCUUAAGCGCCACUGGAAAGGCGAAGCCAUGGGACCACAUAAGUCCAAAGGAAAGGCCCCUGCUAAACGCAGAAGAACCAUGAGCCUAGCGACCAGGGCCGGACUGGCCCACCGGGAUACCAGGAAAUUUCCCGGUGGGCCGCGGGCCGGGUGGCAGCUUCCCCGGUCCGGCGGCCCUGCUCCUCUCACUGCCAGGGGCGGGCCGGCCCUUUAAAUACUGCAGCCGCCUGAGCGCUCUGUUUAGAGCCUCAGGCGGCUGCAGCUUCUCCCCUCCCCUGUAGCGUGGCCGAGCUGCACUCCGGUCCGCGGUGGCCGGCCGGCCGGAGUGAUAGGGAGGUGCACACUCAGUNNNNNNNNNNNNNNNNNNNNNNNNNNNNNNNNNNNNNNNNNNNNNNNNNNNNNNNNNNNNNNNNNNNNNNNNNNNNNNNNNNNNNNNNNNNNNNNNNNNNCACAGAUUCACACAAUGCAUCCUUUACACACAACAAGAAACACACAAUACAUCCCUUAUACACACACACACACACACACACACACACACUGCUUCCACUACACACAAACACACUGCAUCACCUACACAAACUGGUAUCCCUAUACACAUUCCGUAAGCACACACAUUAGAUCCUCUACAGUAACACAUAACACAUCCCCUACACACUCUACUCCCUGUGAGUUCAUGGGUGGAACAUGUAGGUGGACUUAUGGGUGGGCUUUAUGGGCAUACUCACCGUCAGGCCCUGGGACCCAGACCUUGAGCUAUGUAAGAGGCCCCAAAAAAUUGAGCUGCUUUCCGUUCUCCCAGAACAUUGAAUUUUGUGACCACAGUUACAAACAGCCUCCAGCGAUCCUAUUCUACACCAGACCAGUGGAGCCAGACGGCAGCUAGAGCCCAUCACCAUCCUCAUCUGAUUGUAAGUAGGCAAUCUAGUAUAUUAUUAGUGACACUAAUCUCUAAUUUACCUCACAUUAAAUGGACACUAUAGUCCCCAGAACCACUGCAUCUUAAUAAAGUUGUUCUGGUGUCUAUAGUUUGUCCCUGCAGGCUUUUUAAUGUAAACACACACUGUGUGCAGCACUGGCAUUAGUUCAUAUGGGUGGGGCAUUGCGAUGUUCCGGGAGGGGGGGGGGGCGGCAAAUCCUUCUUUUGCCUAGGGCGGCAAAAAUCCUUGCACCGGCCAUGUCAACAAGGUUGGAAACCUGGUGUUAAUUUUUAACUGAUACAAGCCAACAUUUUUAAUAACAGCUUAUGGCAGCUAUCUCUGGCACGGUUGUAGACAAGCCCUUAGUGUGCUUGUUUAUUUGAUUGUUCAUUCAAAUUUGAUUGAAAUUAAGGUGCCUGGCUUUUUAUGAAUAUUUUUGUCUUAAGAUUGGACAUUUUUGUGAGAUUUAUCAAAGUGUUCUGUUCUAAAGAGCUGCACAUGAAUGUGCAAGGGGAGGAGUCACCUAAGGAAUAUGACUGCUGAUUUCACUAGGCUUUCAUGGUGACUGCCCAACUUUUAGCACUCAAUUCACUCUUUAGAACAGGAAACAUUGAUAUAUCUUCCCCAUAUGGCUGUAUGCGGGAGUCAGAAAUGCAAGAGUUCAACUUGAGGGCGAUUGCAGUUGUUCCUUUCUAAUCGCCUGACCAAGUGAUCGUAUUCAGUUUAUACACAGAGCCUUACAGUGUCUGACCUUUGUUUAGCCCCUGACAAGAUCAUUACAUGUACUCAAUGAUCACAACAGUGGAAUAUGAUUAUUGGAUCCUAUGUCAUCUUUUUAAACCCUGGAUGAAUCUUCUGACCCGAGGAUUAAGUUUUAGCAGCAAUGUCGUAGGAUUUAGUUCUUACCAACACACCUCCAAGUCAAAUGGACUUAAAUUCUUAAUUUACCAUGCUGGGCAUAUGCUUCUUCUGAUUUUAAGUUAUGUACCAGCUGAUCCACACGGUAGCAAACAAAUACUUUAAAUAAACAUGCAUCCUGAUUCAUACUAACUACUGGCAUCCUUCAAACAAUUUUGCACCCUCAACACUACCUAUAACUAGUCUCAUUAUAUAUAUUAUUUACCAGCCUAAAACAUACCAAGAAUUCACCCUGAGAGGUAAGUAGAUUCACAAGAAGUAUGUGCAUCAACAAAACAUAAGGCUGGCUCUCUACUGGUCCGAUAGAGACAUGUCUAGCUGCGAACACAUUGCUUAAACCCUCAAAUGUAUUCUUUAUUUUCCUAAAGAAAAUUUAAAAUUGUUACACUAUGAAAACAUAACUCAAAAUCCCAAUUCACCAUGGUAAAGGAUUUACCUUACCACAACCACCACAGUUUGAUUGAUGCAAUGAAAGACAGACACUUAAAGAAUUCACAAAACCUUGAUUUGACUUUCAGCUCUUUCCAAAAAAAGAUUAAGGAAUUAUGCCAGGUCGACAAAAAAAAAAUAUGGACUGUCUCAUUACAGUAAUGAUGAUGCAAUUCUCAGUAAUGACUAUAUUAACAAAUAUUGAUCUCCCUUAAAUUGGAUGAAAAUCUGAAGAAACAAGAUUUUAUUCAUUAUUAUUUUUAAACAAUUAUGUCAUUUACAUAUACAACAGGGGAUUGCAUUUGUCAAUGUCUCUAACCUGUCCAUGAUGUCAUAUAAACACUUCUGAAUUUCAGCUCAUGUCAUAUAGGAUUUUUUUUAUAUAUUUCAUAACUAGUAUUAAAUGGUCCACUGUCUAUAUAUUCUUUGCAAAGAUAAUAAAGAGGGAUCAUACUCAUUACUAUAUCUACAGUUGAGAAGAUAAGAUAAAGGUCGAAAUGCCUAUAUUUUGUCAAACCACUUUAAUAAGCUGCACUGUUGGUUUGUACCAUAACCACUACCAUAAACUGCAUUGAAUAAUGAGUUUAGAAAUACAAAUAUGUCCACUUUUCAUCCCACAAUUUGCUGCUUUACAAUACCUGUAGUGAACUUAGCCCACACCAGGAAGUGACUCAGCCAAUCAGCAUUCUCCUAUUAUUUUCAUUAUGAAUCUAACUGUAUCCUUCUCAUUCUUUCAUUCUUGUCUUAAUUUGCAUAUAAUCCUGAGGGAAUACAUGUAUAAAGAAAUAAUUACCUGUUUUCAGUAGCUCUGGUUUCACUAGAGUCCCUGGAUUCUAGUGUUAUUAGUGUUAAUCAUAAUCAUCUAUAUACCUUUUUCAAUAGUUCAAGAUGGUAUCAUAUAAAAAAGCUCAGGUCUUAGAGUGAGUGGUACAUUUUAAUUGAGGGUAAAUAUUUAAAUCGUAUUGCAUUUAAAUCUAUCGAUUUAGAACCCUCAUGCUCAAUAUGCAAUUUUUUGGGUAAACACUUGGGAUUAGGAAAGAACUCACAGGACAUGCAUUUCUUGAAAUGACCUCAAAAUAUAUAUACACAAAAGUAAACAGUAUAUGAACACAAAAUAUGCAAUAUUAUAGAGUUCAAUUCUAUUUAAACACCUGGUCACACCAUAUACUACACUGUGUUAAGCACACUACUAUAUCAAAGUACUCCACUACUGGUGAUUCCUAACCUAAUUUUAACAGAAGACUUGGAGAUGAGUUUUUAGCCUGAUAUACUGGCUGGGGACCUUAUGGGAGAAGGGAAGGGGCUCUCAUAUUAAAAACUAGGAGUAACCUAUUGUUCCACCCAGCUCACAUCUAUGGACAUCAAGGGGCUCUAAUAUUGAUAACAAGAGGGAACCUAAUGUCCCACCCAUGGGAGGCAGAUGGUGGCUCUAAUUAAAAAUACAAGGAGUGGACAUGCCAUUGUCUACCCCCUUUCCCCCACAAAAAGGGAAAUAUCCAAUCUUAAGUAAUUUCCAUUUAUGCCAGAAAAAGGGAAAAUUAGCUCUUCACUCCAAAAUGGUAAUCUGUUAUCUCAUGUGAUCAACAUAAUGUAACCACAUUUAUUUCCUGUAUCCUCGAAUAUUAUAUUAUAUUUAUUGUAUCCUCGAAUAUUAUUUUUUAUUUAAAUAGCAAUAAUUUUUCAGGAUAUGAUAAAACAAUUCCUUAAAGGAAACAAUGUAUUCCUAACACUAAGUAAUUUCCAUUUAUGCCAGAAAAAGGGAAAAUUAGCUCUUCACUCCAAAAUGGUAAUCUGUUAUCUCAUGUGAUCAACAUAAUGUAACCACAUUUAUUUACUGUAUCCUCGAAUAUUAUAUUAUAUUUAUUGUAUCCUCAAAUAUUAUUUUUUAUUUAAAUAGCAAUAAUUUUCCAGGAUAUGAUAAAAUAAUUCCUUAAAGGAAACAAUGUAUUCCUAACACUAAGGUGUUUCCUCUGCCCCAGUGCCGCCACUGGGUCCGCGCUAGCGUUGUAAAGUGUUACAUAACCCUUUAUCAACUUAUUCAAUUCCAGCACCGAAGUCCUUCAGCUCUGGGUCACGCUCCGCCUCCUCCUCCUCCAAAAUCUGAUUGGGGGACCUAAUGCAAAUGCAUGGCAAACGACACACGCGCAUUAGGCCUUCCCCAUAGGAAAGCAUCACCUGAAUGCUUUCCUACAGUCAAACUCAGUGGAAUGAAGCUUCAGUGGAAUGAAGUGGUCUGGGUGCCUAUAGGGUCCAUUUAAGGCAGCAAAUUCCACAUUUUUAUUGUUCUUACUCUAAAGUACCCUUUCUGAUGCUACAGCAUAGCCAAAUAACACAAGUUAAACUUGAUCAACACCCUUGCUUUUGCAUUCUUCAUGACCUCCUAUUCCCAGUUCCGUCCCAUCUGUUAUGUGUCUCUUAUUCCCCCCCUGCUGAAUUCUCUCCUAUCAUUUCUAAGUAUUUCAAGAUAAAAAUACAUCAUAGGAUGACUUCUUCAUAUUUCAAAUUCAAGACUUGAUGCCUAUAUCAUUAGAUAAUAAACUCAUGGGAAUCUUUAUCAGAUUCAACACUAACAUUAAAUAGAAAUAAAUUGGUCUUAAAACAAAAGCAAACAAUUAUUUAUUAAAGGAAGUAAUGAGUAAAGAUAAUAUACAAUUUGUAAAUGGAAUGCAUUGUCCUCUUAAUUAAAUUUUUAUAGAAACUCUGCUAAAAUUAAAUACUUCUAUAAACUGCUAAAAUUAAUGAUCAUCCUACAUGUAAAUGUUUGUAUAAAAACUUACAAGCAAGAUAACUGUAAUUGAUUCAUUGAUUUAAACAAAAUUAACCCCUUAACAAAAGGACUAAGUUAAUAAUUUGCAAUAAAGGAAGUAUAAACAUUAGAUCUUUCUUUACAGCAAGUGUUUAGGAAGGCUGCUUAAGUCACAUGCAGGGAGGUGUAAUUAGGGCUGCAUAAACAAAUUGACCUAACUCCCAAAUGGCAGUAAAUUAAGGAGUGAGACUGCAGGGACAUGAUCUAUAUUCCAAAACUGCUUCCUUAAGCUAAAGUUGUUUUGGUGAAUAUAGUGUCAGGUCUUAUUGGUUAUUGUUUUUCAGAUUAUUUGCUAAAAUUAAAUAUAAAGAAAUUGGUAUUAUUCAAUUAUAGAGAUAUGCAAAGAGUUAACAUAAAAUGUGCCUUCUCUCUAACUACAUACACUUGCAGCAGAUCCUUAUGGCUUAUAGAAUGUAAUGCUUACAAAAGUGGUUUAAAAGUGUGAAUUGUCAAGAAAACUAUCUAAACUUUUUUUUAAAAAUAAUUAUUUAUAUUUGUAGUGCUUAGAUACGUAGACAAGUUUGUAAAGACAUAACAAUAAUGGUUAACGUUACAAGACAAUUUGCAGGUACAGACCAUGUUAUGUCAAGAUAUUUACAUUUUUUGUUUAAGUCAAUAUCAAGAGUAACACAUUCACGUCUAAAUGCUAUAUAUUAGAAUUGCAAGAAUAUAUUCAAGUCCUGAAUAUUACAAGUAGCUAAGUAAUAAAACACGUACAAACUGUAGCAUAUAGCUAAGUGCCUAUGUAGUUAAAAAAGAGUGGCAGUUAUAGCUCAUUGAGUUUAAUAUUGGGACGACUACCACCACAUCAUAUGUAAUAGAAGUAGAACCUACACCCUGUUCCAAAUUAUUAUGCAAAUGAUAUUUUUCUCAUUUACCUAAAUAAUUGAUGUAAAUGACAGUCAGCAUAAUUCUCAUGUUAUCAACUAUUAAGAGUGCAAUUCAAAUGUUAUUGAACAAACCUCCUAAUGAUAACAGUAUUUUUUUAAAACAUAAAAAACUUACAAUGCACUGUUCCAAAUUAUUACGCACAGUAAGUUUCAAAACACUUUAUAGGUUGUAAAGAACUGAAAAUGGUCAUUUGUUGUGUUUGCAGUAUAUUUACUGAAAUCAAAAGCUAUUUCAAUCAAACUUAUAACACUAUUUUAACUUUUUAAACAUUUUAUCAGGUCACGUUACAUUUUAACAUAGGAUCCCUUAUUUGAUAGCAGCUUCACAAGUUUUGCAUCCAUUGAACUUGUGAGUUUUUGGAUAGUUUUUGCUUGAAUUUGUUUGCAAGAUGUCAGAAUAGCCUCCCAGAGCUGCUGUUUGGAUGUAAACUGCCUCCCACCCUCAUAGAUCUUUUGCUUGAGGAUGCUCCAAAGGUUCUUGAUAGGAUUGAGGUCAGGGGAGGAUGGAGGCCACACCAUGACUUUCUCUCCUUUUAUCCCCAUAGCAGCCAUUGAUGCAGAGGUAUUCUUUGCAGCAUAAGAUGGUGCAUUGUCAUGCAUGAAGAUGAUUUUAUUACGGAAAGCAUAGUUCUUCCUUCUGUACCAGGGAAGAAAGUGGUCAGUCAGAAACUCCACAUACUUUGCAGAGGUCAUCUUUACUCCUUUGGGGACCCUAAAGGGGCCGACCAGCUCUCUUCCCAUGAUUCCGGCCCAAAACAUGACUCCACCACCGCCUUGCUGAUGUCGCAGCCUUGUUGGAACAGGGUGGCCAUCCACCAAACAUCCACUACUCCAUGCAUCUGGACCAUCCAGGGUUAAACGGCACUCAUCAGUGAACAGGACUGUUUGAAAAUUAGUCUUCAUGUAUUUUUCUGCCCAAUGCAGCCAUUUCUACUUGUGAGCAUUGGUUAGUGGUGGCCGAAUAGAAGGUUUAUGCACAGUUGCAAGGACUCUACACCUUGAUGUCCGUGGGACGCCAGAGGCACCAGCAGCUUCAAAUAUCUGUUUGCUACUAUGUAAUGGCAUUUUAGCAGCUGCUCUCUUGAUCCGAUGCAUGGAUCUGGCAGAAAUCUUCCUCAAUGUGCCUUUAUCUGCAUGAACCCGUCUGUGCUCUGAAUCAGUCACAAAUCUCUUAAUAGUGCGAUGAUCACUCUUAAGUUUUCAUGAAAUAUCUAAUGUUUUCAUACCUCAUCCAAGGCAUUGAACUAUUUCACUCUCUUCGGCAGCAGAGUGAUCCUUUUUCUUUUGCAUGAAAAUGGUGCUCUGAUUAAUAAUGUAGUUUUUCCUUAAAUUGGGCUCACCUGGCAAUCUAAUUAUCACAGGUGUCCGAGAUUUUUUUUUUUUUUUUAUCAAUUCUUUAUUUUUGCAUUGACAGAUAUUGAAGGUGAUAACAGUGUUGGCUUACGCAGAAGCCCAUUUUUCGAAUGUGCUUUAGUCAUGUUACAGAAAGGAAAUCUGGGUUGUUAGUGUACGUGUCCGAGAUUGUUUUCAGUGAUCAAAAGAGCCCUGAGACACAAUGCCAUCCAUGAGUUAAACUGAAAAAUAAAAUAUUUAAUCUUUGUGACACUUAAAUAUAAUUUGCAUAAUAAUUCGGAACAUGGUGUAUGUCUUAAUUCCUGACAUGCUCUGCAGACUAUAACGUUAAAUGAAAGUAAAGUAAACUCUUAUGCUUUAAAACUAAAAAAGAAAUGGAAAAGACACAAUCUGUUGUUAUGUUAACGCAGGAAAGUCCAGGAGAUGUGGGCAGUUGUGCCAGCAUGGUGAUCAGGUUUAGCCUGUGUCAACUUAAGUGGUUUGCUGCGACAGACCAUGGUAAUGUUCCUCCUUUAUGAAAGAUGAGAAGGCUAUCAGCCCGGGAUAGUUUUGCCUGAGGGUGAUCUCCAAGUGNNNNNNNNNNNNNNNNNNNNNNNNNNNNNNNNNNNNNNNNNNNNNNNNNNNNNNNNNNNNNNNNNNNNNNNNNNNNNNNNNNNNNNNNNNNNNNNNNNNNUGUGGACAAAGUCCCGCCUGAGGCGUCAAUUGCAUGUCUGGCCCAGAUAGUUAGGAACUAGUCAUUCUGUCUCUUGGAGCCGAGUGUUUCUUGGUCGCUGUAUGAUGUGCUCUUGCGUUCAGUGCCUGCCAGAACCGAAAGCAGCCGGUGUCCCAAGUGGCAAGGAAGGUUUCCCUCACUGCUUUCUUCAGUGAGGGUAUGUAGUUGUGCGCUGGCCAGCGCCAUUUUGAGGCACUGAUUACCCCGUGCCACCUCAGGAAGUAGUAGCCCCCAGAUUGGUGGUAGGCACCAGGGGCUUCAGUGGUGGGGACUGGGAUGACCCCCCAGUCCAGAGGGGGGAAAUCAGAGCUUUCAAUUCAGCCUUUAGGGUCCCGCUGGAGAGGCCGCCCGCAGCUCCCAGCCGGUCCCACACUAGGCCGCAAUUCUAGUAGGACAGAGCACCUCCGUUGCCAUCCUCUGCGUGCUGUGCUGGAGUGCCCAGUGACACCCGGACACCUCCAGGCAUCAGUUCAGCCUGGAAUGUCAGCACAGGUAUCGUGAUUGACAGUGUUUAAGCAGAAAAUCUGCAGAGCUCAUGCUCCCUGCGACCACCCGCCAUGGCAAGUCCCACCCCUGACAUAAACCUUUUUAAUUAACCUUAAAUGAAUUGGAGCAAAUAGUUUUUGAUUAAUUUUUGCCCCAAAAUUGAAAUUCAAUAAAUUUACUUUGAAUUCUGAACAAUUCACACUUGUCUGAUAGUGAUAACAGCUCUAUGUAGCCCUCACUUCCUUUAACCCGUGGGUUAUUCCAUUUUAGAAUAUAAUUCUUAAAAAAUAGGGUACUAUGCCAGAAAAGUCCAUCACUAAUCCACUUUGCUGGAAUGUAUACUAUUGAAUAAAGCAUUGAAAACUACCUAGAACUUGAAUUCAUCGUGUUUUCAUUAAAUGCGUAGUUUUCUUUUAUUUGAAUUGAAGAUUUUGCAAAUGACAUAAAAUCAUGUUCAGAGAGACAAUGCCAUAGAAAACAUUGCAAAUUAAUUGGAGACAUUGUCAGUGACAGUUUUCCUUUAAAUGGUUAAUUAAGCCUUAAGUUGUGUUGGGCUGAUGACUGACUUGCAACAUUUAAUCUAUUCUACAGCGCAUUUGGAAAAUAUUUAUAACACAUCUGAUCUGGAGAUUCUCCCCUCCCCAACGUCAUCAUAUUUUCCUAACUCUCCAUACAUGUUCUGAGAACAGACCCAAUAUUUAAAGGAACACUCCAAACUACUAAAACACUUUUACUUGCUUAAGUGCUUUUUUCAAUUUAUAAAAAGUGCAGAUUCCAAUAAAAAUUGCCACUUUUAUAAGUCAACCUUAUAACACUCCCCAAACUGUCAAUCAGACAACAGGUCCUGUUACUUCCUGGUUUCGUUCAAUCAGUGGAAUGCAAUUGCCCAGAGUAAGUCUGUGAUUGGACAACCACAGAAAGUCUGGGCGGGGUUAAAAGAAGAGAGAUUGCAAAGGCUGCAGACAAGGGUUCAGCAGCUUUUGCAAGCCGGAUUAGAUUAAGUAAAACUCUUAAUAUAUACAAAACAAUUACCCCUCUAUCGUUUGAGGGUGUCUCAAAUAUUGUGGUCAUAUAAAAAAAAAUAACAAGUAUGUAGUGUAACUUUGUGUGAGCGAUGGACAAUAAAAGGUAAGUGAGGAUAAUCACACUAACAUAGAACAGGGCCAAAGAUGGAUAGGGAAGCUCAAAUCACUUGGGCAGGUUUGUACUAGACUGCUUCAAUCUUCUACAGAGAGUAUCUAAAAAAAAAAGAUAAAAAUAUGGCUUCUAGCAGGUAAGGUAUGGAGCUGUUAGAGAAAAACAGUAAACUGUUCACCUUAAACAGAGCCUUCCAAAACGUGUCUCUAGGUAACGCCACACAGUGUCUUAUAUGGGAGACACUACCUUCUUUGAACUCAGGACUUACCUGAGGAUGCCACAGAACACCCAACUUCCAAUGUAUAAAAUGCAUUUAUUAUAAAAAAAAUACCAUAGUUAAAAAUAAUAUUAUAUUAAAAGCAGUAAAAGUCCUUGGUCUCUCCCUUCCAAAAUGCAUUUUGCCACCUAACAACUUUUUCAAUAAGAAUCCAUUUUUUGUUUGCAUGAGUUUUGUGUAUGAGGUUUUUUGAGAACUUACACUAGUGGGGUAGCAGCUACUUUAUUAUACGUUAUUAUACCUAAGCGCCUUAUUACCACAGAUAUUUUAUUUAUUCACUUGGUUUAUAUAUACCCCCAAUAAAAAAAUGCAUAAUUAAAUACUGCAUGAUUUCAUUGGGGGUAUAUCUACUAAAUAAUAAUGUAUUUUUUUUUAUUUAGGCAGUCGAGUAUCUCUUUAAUCCCUUAAGUACGGUGGGUGUUUUAUGCCAUCCUUGGUGACCUGGCUCAAAACGUCCUAUGUACUUACCCGGUCACUGCCAAUCCCACGCUGGCGAUCCCAUUGUGGGGACUCACCUGGCAGCCCAGGGAGUCCCCCAGCAUCCUUUCUGGUCCCCCUGGGCCAUGUGAUCGCGAGGUCCUUGCUGGCACUGCCUGUAAUGACAGGUACAUCCCCUGCUGCCUGAAAAUAGUAAAAAAAAAAAAUUUAAGUUACAGUUUAAAUUAAAAUAUAUACUUAGAUUAGAUAUAUACAUGAUCUAUGUAUAUAUAUGCACAUAUACAUACACAUACACUGUCUAAGUGUAUUUUAAUAUUAAUAUAUAUUUAUAAUUUUAUAUAUAUAUAUAUAUUAUUAUCAAAAUACAUGUACAAUAAUAUUGAUUAAAUAUAUAUAUAUAAUUUUCAUUAUAUAUAUUUAUAUAUAAUAUAAAAUAAAUAUGUAAAUACGUUAAAAAUAAUAUUAAAAAAUAAUAAAUAAAUUAAAAAUAUAUAUGUGUAAAUUCGUUCUAACUGUACAAACAAGAUACAUGUAGAACGAAAUAAUAUAUAUAUAUAUAUAUAUAUAUAUAUAUAUAUAUAUAAGUAUAUAUGUAUAUAUCACUAUAUAUAUUCCUAUUUAUAAAUAAAAAUAAUUUGUAUAUAUAUAUAUAUAUAUAUAUGUAUAUAUACUUAUAUAUAUACCCACAUAUAUAUAUAUAUAUAUAUAUAAUAAUUAUACGUAUAUAUUUAUGUAAUCAUUUUACAUAAUUAGGUCAUUUUAUUAAUUACAAUUGCCUGACAUCCCAGGCCAAAAGUCCAGGGAAUUUAAUUUGCUAUAUUUAACCCUGUAACUUUCCAAUACACCAUAAUACUGUUUCACUCGGAAGACUUCACUGAACACAAAUAUUAGUGUUUCAAAACAGUAAAAUGUAUUACAACGACGAUAUCAUCAGUGAAAGUGAAAUCUUUUGAAUUUUUCACACACAAAUGGCACUUACACGGACGAUAUAAUUGUUGUGAUACGUUUUACUGUUUUGAAACACUAAUAUUUGUGUUCAGCGAAGUCUCCCGAGUAUAAAAGUACCUCUCAUGUACAGGUUUUAUGGUGUUUUCAAAAGUUACAGAGUCAAAUAUAAGGCUUGCAUUUCAGUUUUUUUACAUUGAAAUUUGCCAGAUUGGUUACAUUGCCUUUGAGACCUUAUGGUAGCCCAGGAAUGAGAAUUACCCCCAUGACGGCAUACCAUUUGCAAUGUUUGUGACUAAGUGGCUACUAAAAAAGACCGGACAUACCCCAUUUGCAGUAUGUUGGGUUGUCUACUUUUGCAAAUGGUAUGCCAUCAUGGGGGUAAUUCUCAUUCCUGGGCUACCAUACGGUCUCAAAGGCUACAUAACCAAUCUGUUGAAUUUCAAUGUGAAAAAACUGAAAAAUGUAACACGCUAUAUUUGACCCUGUAACUUCCCAAAACCUCAUAAAACCUGUACAUAGGGGGUGCUGUUUUACACGUGAGACAUCGCUGAAUACAAAUAUGUGUAUUUUAUUGCAGUAAAAGCAAACAGUAUUAUGACAUUCGCAGUUAAAUUGUCACGUAGAACUAAACAAUUCUCAUUUUCUCCCAUUUUUUUAUAUUUUAUUCAUAUUAAAUUAUGUUUCAUACCUAAAAAAAAUUGAUGUUGAAUGAAAGCCCUGUUUCCCCCAAAUAAAAUGAUAUAUAAUAAGUGUGGGUGCAUUUAAUAUGAAAGAGGUGAAUUACGCCUGAACAGACAUAUUGCGCAAAUUCAAGUUUUUGUUUAUGUUUUGUUUUGAUCACAAUGUGUACAUUUGGCUCAGUCCAUAAGGGGUUAAAGAGAUUGUCAUGCUUCAAACGUGUUUGCAGAUCAUAUUUAAAGAAGUUCCCGUGUGUGUAAAAAUUAAGAAACAUGACUCAAUUUACUUUUAUUGUUCCAGAAAGUCUUAAUUUUGCAGCGGUAGUAGGCUGCUUUUCAUUUACUUUCAUCUGUGUCUUUUGUGGUUACAGUCUAUAAUUAGAUUUUUAGCUGUAUGCUGACAAUGUGAAAUGACCAAGAAAAUAAAUUAGAAAAUAGCUUUUAUAUUUCAUUAACAGACAGAUAGAAUUCAACUUAGGCUUGUGAGAUAGUUCAGUUGGUUAAAGAACUAAAUAUACAUGGGUUACAUAUCAGCAACCAGUUUGGUUAAGACCAAACGGGUUAUUUAUUGAAUUGAGAAUUAUUAGGAAUUCAGCAUUCAGCUAUUUUGGUCUAAAAUUUGAGAUUCACUUUGAAUUCCAUUUUUGAUAAUUUUCAAUUUAAUAAAUAAACCUCUAAAAGUCUACAUUAUAGGGGAAUUAUCACUUUCCUGGAGUUUACACCAAAAUUUCUGUUAACUUCGUGUGAUGCUCUUCUUUCCUUUACAUUUAUAUCAAAUAUUUAGCAAAUUAUUGCACAUAAUAAUUCAGUUCACACGGGAAAAAGCCAAGGAAAACGCUGCAAAUGAAGAGGAGUUAUAGAAAUAUUGUUUUAUUACUGCCCUUCCCUGUAUGCUUUCUCUUCUUUAGGGACAACAACUGACAGGGAGCUAAGAUGAAGGAUAAAAAAAAUGUACUUUUUUUGGACAUUCUUUAUUUAUUCAGUACAAAGGAAUAUAAACAGGCUUGCUAUGCCACAACAGCAUUGUCACGCAUUAUGUGGCGAUACAUUGACAUGGCACAGUGUGGCUGUCGUGCUCUGCCCCUAAAAGUGUGAAUUUUUACAUUUAAUUUUAUUUUUUAAGCCUCACAAAUAAUUAUUGUUUAAUACAGGGAUAAGUGAAUUUAAUAUUAUAAUACCUGGGAAGUAAAAGUUCCCCUUUAAAAACAUUGUAUUUCCGGGUGGGAAAUGUGAACUAUUUUAGAAAUGUAAUUUUUUUUUUUUUAACAAAUAAAUAAUAACAAAUACUCUCCUUUCUCGGGUGGCAUGUCUACAGCGAUGUAAAGUUGUUUUUGUCCUUCUUUGCGAAAGUUACACUUCAUUGAUUAUUUUCUUUUUUUUACUUAUCAGCAAGGAACAAAGCUCAGAUGCAUUUAGCACAAAUCAAUAGUAAUCUAAAAGCCAUGAAUUUCUACAAAAACACACAGCAUCUGCCUAGCAAAUUGUGGGCCUGGGAUUGAGCCCAACCAACUCACUCUAUGAUUAGACCACACACAAGAAGCUAAAUCGCACACAAUGUACAAAGUACAGAAACAGUUGCCAUGUUCAGACCUUCUUUGCAUAUAUGUGCCAGAUAAAUAUACCAUGACCAUACACACGAUGUGGCUCAGAUUUUAUAAACGCCUGUCAUUCUGUUCUCUAACAAAACCUACAGCAUAUUUUAACAGGGAACUAAACCAACACAAAAAAAUGAUCUAAACAAACAAUAUAAAUAGCAAGCCAUUUGUUUUUGCAUUCAAUCAUUCUCUAUAUUACUACACUCUUAAUCUAUAAAUGUACUAUGCACAAUUGUAAAGGAAAAUUAUACACAUUUUAAUUUGUAUGUCCCAUUAUUAACUGCUCUUAAUUCUAGAGAGAUAGGGACAUACUUGCAUGGUGUCUUUUGUCAGUGCAUAGGGUGUGAAUUUAAAUUCACAAUAGAACAAUGACUCUGUGUUUUAGUUUAUUUAAAUUAAAUUGCUCUUUGGCUACAAGUGUACAUAUUCUGUCACAACUUUGAAUUCUCUGGACUGGCAUGAGUGAUACAAUAUGGUCACGAUCAUCAUUGGACACUCGCAGCUUCAGCUAAUCUGGAUGGCAUGAUAAAUACCGUAGGACUCUGACACGGACAUGGUUAAAAUGAUUGGAUAUAUUAAUAGAAUGGAUAAAUUAAUAGAAUUUUACUUUCAAAUCACUCGCAUAAAUCACAUCAAAUCUUGCCAUUUGCCCAUCUUCUUAUCUAUCUUGCAUUCUUAAUUUACCUUUUUAGUUUACUCUAAAAUCUCCUUUGCGUGUUUGAUUUCAAAAUUGUGAACAUUGUAGAGAAAGGUUUAAUUUGCUUUUAAUCCAAUAUGUCAUAUGUAAAUCCCAUGAAAAGUUUUAAAAAAAUUCUCAAUAGCUUACAGGAACACUGCAUGCACAACACCCUCUUCAGCCUGUUGGUUUGUCAACUUAGCUGGGUCACGUUGGGGCUGCUAUCAUGCCUGUGCCAGCCGAGUACUCUCAUCUCAUCUGGUUUCUGUUUUUGAAGGGCUUUCGUUCCUUCUAUUUUUGCUUGCAAUGGUGGAAUAACAAUACUUGCUUCUCUUCUCUCUCUUCAAGCCAUUACUAUUUGACUCUGAGUUAAAUAAGUUUGACUCCAAUACCAUGGUCAGUGGAAAGAUUCUUCAAGGUUUUUUCUAGGUGGCUUGGCAAGUUCUAAGGCGCUCAGACUGCAUUGAUAGAGAAUGUCAGUGUGACCAGAUAUAUUAUCAAGCUGAAAAACAGAUUUUCCGAAGCUUGAUGUGAAUUGGGUGACUUUUUAGAAUGAAUGAGCAGAUUCUCAGAAUCCUAGGGAAAAUUGUCAUAGUCUUAGAUUUUCUAUGUAACUGAACAGAUUCCAAGGAGGUACUCGGAAAAUAAAAAUCUUAGAUUUAUACAGUAAAAGAACAGAUUCACAGGAAAACAUUUUUCUUCAAGCUCAAAUAAAUUGGAUUCUUAAAUAAGAACCAUUUUAUGAGUUUCUAAAUAGUAUCUUGUAUCGUGUAUCACAAUGUUAAAGAGUUAAUAUUUUGCAGAGUCCUUACGGUCAGCUUAUUUAGAAAGUUAGCAGUUAUGGGUAUAACUCAUUAGAUUUUCUCCCUCGAGAAUGCAAAACUGUUUCCAUAUCUGUGUACCAUCAAUGAAAACUCAUGCAGAGCUAUAUCCCUAAUGAACAUAUUUAAUAGACCAGGCGCCAGGGUUGAACCUUUUAGUUUCUCUGCUAGUGACUUGUCUUAAUUCUAAAAGUAGCAGAUCAAACACACAAUGAGGUUUGUUAAUUAAAUAGUGCAUUUUAGCUAAUUGAAACCUAAACUAGUUAGGCCAAAAUAAGCAGUUUAGCGGGAUUGGCAUUUCUCUGGAAAUUAUAAUAUUGAAUCAAAAUUUGAAAAUCACCUGUAACUUGUGUUAAACAUUUUUCAUGUUUUUUUCAUGCUCCAUUUCCUUUUAAAUGGGAUUUAGAUAAGAUUCAGCAAGUGACAUGAGAAUCCAUUUUACUUUAGAAUCAGCCAGGGCACACAAUGCAGCUAAGGAGGCGAUCUUCAUGAACUUUUAUAGAAAAGAGUUAAUAUUUUUCUUGCUUAUGCUGAUUUUUACCUGCACUAAUAAAUUAAGCAAUUUGUGUCUGACUAUUUUACAUGUUAAACUACUAAACAAUAUAAUUUAGGUAAUAAAGUUUGUCCAAAAGUAGUCAAUAUAAUUUCAUGUCUCCUACUUGCAUUCUAUGCACCAUGUCUCUAGCUAAUUGUAUAACUGCCGUUAACACUGUACAAAGGUAAUAAAUCUGAUGCGUUUCUCUGGGUAAUAUAUAUUUGUUAUAUCAACUGUAUUAAGAUUCUCAGUGUCAAAUAUACCAAAAAUCCCUAAAGAAAAAGUUCAAAAUAAAAUGGUUCGGAACUGAUCUCCGUAAAGCAAAUUCACAAUCUAAAAUUUAUUUCUAACAGAUUGUGGUUAUUUGAAAAACGUAUUCAAAAGAAUUCAAUUGAAGACACAGUUGGAUGUAGAUGUGUAUAAACUUAUAAAGCGAUGCAUUCUGACAAUAUUAAUUAUUAGUAGCUAAUUGCCUCCAUAUUCCACAGCAUUCAACUAUGGUAUUAAAGGAGUAAAUCAUAGAAAAACAAUAUACAAAUAAUAAAUAAAUGCAAAACACAUUAAAGUGAACUGACAAGAGGAAAAGUAAGCCCUAAUCAAAAUUAUCUAGAAGAAAUAGGUAACUUUUCUAAGAGUCAGUUUAAACACCAUAAGUGCAUUGCAUCAUUGCAAAGUGCACGAUGCCAAGAGCACCCUGAAUCCAUACUCAUUUCUGACAGGGUUAUUCACAAAAAGUGAGAAAUAAGAACUGCAAGCAUAGCCUGGGUUGGAUUUCCCAAAAGGCCUAAGAGGCUAUGGUUUUAGAAUGACAGGCAGGAGAGGGGUGGCACAGCCAGUGAGGAGAUCAAAGAUCUGCCUCAUCGAGGCAAACAUGGUAGACAUUAGCCUCUGAGUAUAGAUAGGUAAACAUUAUUCCAUGGUACUCUGAGUACAGAGAGUAGACAUUAGUACAUAGUGGACACUACCCUCUGAGUACAAGACAGCCAUGUUGUCCUGAUACUUUUAUAUCAGAGUGUUGCCACAGGUUACCACGGCAAUGUUCUGACACAUUGCUUUGGCGCUGGCCCCUGUCUGACUCAAGUAAUGCAUCAGAGAGGUAAUAAUAACAUUUAUUUAUUUAUUUUAUUAUUUAUAAAAAAAGUUAUACUGCCACUCAGCCUAUAUAUUUCCUCUUCAGACCCUAUCCCACCACAACAGCCCCUAUACCCUCUACUAUACUCAUUAUCCCCCUCACCACAGCCUCUAUUCUCCACACAACAGCUCAUGUCUCCCCCUCAGCACACACACCAGCAACAAAUAUAUUCUAUUGGCCCUAUUGCCCAAAUACAUCCUACCACACUCUACAGUCCCUAUGCACACACACACACACACACACAUACACACACACACACACACACUACUGCACUUAUCCCCAUAGACAUACCCAUAUCCUCUUCAUCCUAUCCACAUACAGUCCCUAAUAACGUGCACACACAAACAGCAUUGCAAACAGGCCCAUCCUACACAAGUAGCCCUUUAAACACUGCAACCACUCAAGCAGCAUCUCCCCCAGACAUGCAACACUACAAAAAGCAUCCUCCCAAUAUACACACACAAACCCACAGGCAGUAUUAACACAAACUUACAACACCACAAUCAGGCUCUCCAUACACACAACACCACAAACAGUUGACAUAUACACACCCUCUCCGAGCGCCGUACCACUUAUCAUCCUGCCACCCCCAUUCAAUCAUACCCCAAACUAGUUGCAUUAACGCAUCCAAUCGAAUAGAAUAUAUAGGAACACUGAAAAACUUUUAAAUGACAUUUAUUACCAUUACUUAUUUAUAUAAUGAUGUAAAAUAUUACAUCAUAUAGUACUUACACUAAGCCUUAACCAAUUGUGCAAUACUAGCAACGUUUACUAAGCUUUAACCAACUGUGCAUUACUAGCAACGUUUACUAAGCCUUAACCAAUUGUGCAAUACUAGCAACGUUUACUAAGCCUUAACCAACUGUGCAUUACUAGCAACGUUUACUAAGCCUUAACCAACUGUGCAUUACUAGCAACGUUUACUAAGCCUUAACCAAUUGUGCAAUACUAGCAACGUUUACUAAGCCUUAACCAAUUGUGCAAUACUAGCAACGUUUACUAAGCCUUAACCAACUGUGCAUUACUAGCAAUGUUUACUAAGCCUUAACCAACUGUGCAUUACUAGCAAUGUUUACUAAGCCUUAACCAAUUGUGCAAUACUAGCAAAUAUUUUGUCAUGUUUUAAAAUAUUUUGUUCACGAUACUUUAUCAGUAAAGCAUUUUCUAGUAAAUACAUAUGUAUUUCACACUGUCAAGCCUCCUCCACACUAUACAUCAGAUGCAAUACAUGCAAUAUUUUCACCAUGAUUAUAUUUUUCCACUGUUUAAACCUAUAAAAUGAUUAUCCGCAGAUUCUGCAUGGAACUAAACUGAACCUGUUUUACAUACACAGCCACUCCUCUGCAAAUAUUUUUUUCAAGAAACAGACAGUUCGAUUUCGCAGACCACGGAGAAAGUGACCUGAGUUAAAUACUUCCUAAGUAUGUUGUCUGUACUACAUAUAUUUUGUAGACUUGUUUUGACUUCCCCGCAUAUGUGUGAUAUAUCUUGUAGAUUCAUGAGGAAUGUUUGAACAAAGUCACAUGUCCUUAUCCACUUUCAGAGUCUAGACUGCUGUAGCACUAUGUGUGGCUAUUCGGCGGACUGUAUAUUAUAUAAAAUAUAUAAUAGGGGAAGUGUUGUGUAAUUAUGUGAUUUGGCUGGACAUUAUGCUGGGCAAAACAUCAGACUCCUCAAAAGCAAGAUUGUUUCAUUUUGAUAUUAUGUAUAUAUAGAAGUUAGACAUUUGUUGUAUACCUAGUAAAUAUACUUACUUAACCUUAAAAGCUCACUUUCUAAUACCAAUGACAAGCCAUUUAACAAACGUCACAAAACAAAAUGAUUUACUACCUUUUCCUGUUUUGUUCUGAUUUCACACUAUGAUCAUUUUCAUAAAUCUCUUCAGUUUCCAUGACAUUAUAUAUGUACACUGAUCAUCCCCAACAUUUUAGUCACGUCUAAUAUUGUCUAGGUCCCCUUUGUGCUUCCAAAACAGCUCUAAAGCAUUGAUGCAUGGACUCUUCAAGACCUCUGAAUGUGUCCUGUGGUAUUUGGCACAAAGACAUUAGCAUUACAUCCUUUAAGUCCUGCAGGUUGGUUUUAUUAUUUCAGCACAUCCCACAUAUGCUUAUCUGCAUUGAGAUUCUGGAGGCCAAGGCAACACCUUGAAGUCCUCAAGCCAUUUAUUAACAUUUUUACAGUGUGGCAGGUUAUAUUAUACUUCUGAAAGAGACCACUGUCAUCAGGGCACAUCACUAACACGAAGGAGCGUAUGUGGUCUGCAGAAUCUGUAGGUAGGUGGUACGUGUCAAAGUAACAUCCACAUGAAUGGCAGGACGAAAGGUUCCUUUAGCAGAAAAUUGCUCAGAGGAUUACACUGCCUCCGCCAGUAUGCCUUCUUCUCAAAGUGCAUCCUGCUGCCAUCUCUUUCCCAGGUAAACGUCGCACAUGCACCAGCCCAUCCACAUUCAUCAGAUUCAUCAGACCAGGCAAUGUUCUUCCAUUGCUCCAUGGUCCAGUCCUGAUGCUCACAUCCCCAGGAAGGCACUUUUGGCAUUAGACAGGGGUGGUCAUGGGUACACUUGCUGGUUUUGCGAGUAUGCAGCCCCAUAUGCAGCGAUACACUGUGCGUUCUGACACUUUUUUAUCAUAGCCAGCAUUACGUUUUUCAGCAAUUUGAGCUACUGUAGCUCUUCUUUGUGACGGUCCCCAUCUAUCAAUCAGCCUCGGGUGCCCAUGACCCUGAAGCCACUUCAGUGGUUGUUCUUCCAUGCAUCACUUUUGGUACGCACUAACCACUGCAUAGCAGGAACACCCCACAAGACUUGGAGAUUGCUCUGAUCCAGUCAUGUAGCCAUCAUUAUUUGGUCCUUGUCAAAGUCACUCAGAUCGUUUUGCUCACCCAUUUUUCAUGCUUCCAACACAAGAAAUGCAAGAACCGGCUGUUAACUUGCGGCCUACUAUAUUCCACUCAUUGACAGGUGCCAUUGUAACAAUAUAUUCAAUGUUCUUCACAUUUCCUGUCAGUGGUUUUAAUGUAGUGUCUGAUCAGUGUAUAUACAGCAUUAUACAUUAAUUAUGUUCACUUGCAAGAGGCAAGGGUGAGAGACACUGUGCCUUCACAGCAACUCUUUCAGCAUGGCGGUAAAGCCAGAAGGGCAGUUAAUGAUAAUGACUACAAAUCAUGUGUCUGUAUGAGCUGAAAUGGCAGUGGUCAUUCGCUGGCAUUCCUGAUGCUGUACAACAACAUUCAAUUUAAUGUUAAAACAAACAAAUCAUGCAAUAUAAGAUCAAUAGUGCAUUUUAAUGCCAUUUCAGGGUUUAUAGACAUCUAUUUUGCUAUAAAACACACUUCAGCAAUUCUAUUAAAUUCCAUACAGCAUGCCUGAUUAUGCUAUUCAUAUAAAAAAUGUUGGUUAUCCUAAACUUGUGUUUACGUUUAACAAAUCUAGUGCAUGACACGGACCUGCUCAUUAGACGAUUGUGUUGUUUUUAUUAAAGUUUUAUAAAUUGAUAACUAACAUUCUUUAACAGAGAUACAUUCACAGUUUUGCUUAGGAAGCUCAAUCCCCAUUAUUUCAACUAAUUUUAUUCUCUUGAAUGUUCUAGUUUCUGUAAAAGAUUUUCUAACUAAAAAAGUUGAAGAUUUAAAAUACAGUGGGGACAAAACAAAGUUGAAGAUUAAAAUACGAAGGGGACCAAAGGACUUUGGUGAAACCAUUUGAAAAGAUUUAGGUGGAAAACUAGUAAAUUGCUGCCUCAAAAUCUGGCAGAGUAAGACAUCACCAAUGGACACUUUUCAACCUACUUCACUGCAUAUGGAGCAAAUAACAAAAAAACAAGAUGAGAUAAUUAUCAUCAUUAUAAUAACCCAGAGUAUUAGACAAAAGAUAAUAGUAUACCUGUAGAAUUCAUGGUUGCAAAUGGGAUAUCAUUAAUGUUGUGUAGGAUUUGUGGGAUGGAGAAAUGAACAAAAAGAAAAAAAACAAAUUCAUAUACACCAACACAUAAUGCAAUUUAAAAUGUGUUUUGUAAAUUCAUUAUCUAGACCAUGGGUCGUCAACCUGGUCCCUACCUGGUCCCUACCGCCAGGAUUCCAGGUGGCAGUAGGGAUUUUCUAAUUUUGAUAGAUUGGGCGGGCGGGUGUGAGCCGGCGGUACCCCUGCGACUGGUUACCGCCAUCACCACUUGCAGGCCCCGGCCUGCGCGGCAAACUGCCGGGGCCGCAUAUGGAGGGGUCCAUCGGGUGGCCCAUGCUGUCAGGGCCACCCGAUGGAUGUGGAUUGUAAGGGGACCCGGUCAGGGCUGGGCAAUUUAACAGUGCGAUCGGGCCCCCUGUGAUUACAUCACACGCUGGGAGGAAGUGACUGCACAUCACUCCUCCCAGCUAACGCACAGACCGUGCAGGAGGAAGGAGAAGGAGGGAAUCAGAUUGGGAACUUUGACUUCCAUCCACCUGAGCCACCACUGGACCCCAGGGAAAGUCACCCUCCUGCACCUUAAAGGUAGGAAACACGAGGGUGACUUAAAUAUAAUGUGUGUGUUUGUUUGUGUAUGUGUCUUUGUAUGUAUGUCUUGUGUGUGUCUGUCUGUAUGUAUGUGUCUGUAUGUGUGUGUAUGUAUGUGUGUCUUAUUUAUGUGUCUUUGUAUGUAUGUGUGUGUCUUUGUAUGUGUCUUGUGUGGGUGUCUGUCUGUAUAUAUGUGUGUAUGUGUGUAUGUAUGUGUGUCUUGUCUUUGUAUGUAUGUGUUGUGUGUGUAUGUGUCUGUGGGAUACCUAGCUCAGCCUUCCCACUGGUCAUUGCUAUAAGGAAGGUUAAAAAAAUUUAAAAAAAAGGGAAAAAAAAGGGAAAAAAAAGGUGGGGAGGGGAAUUGAGGAGGGAGAGGAGGGGAGCUGACACACAGAUGAGAAAUCAUAUUAUGCGCAAACAGAGAAGUCGUCUGAAUAUAACCGAAAGAGGAGACCUUUGUUUGUUCCUUACGAAAAUCGAACCAGAUAUCAAAUAUUUAGUCUUGUAGGAUUAACCUCAAGGAUCUCAUUAAUCACUAGUAAAGGUAAUUUCAAUUUACUUUAUUGUUUUCUCAUUAAACUUUAUAAAGUUAAAAACAUUAUAAACAUGCAUUAAGUAGAAAUAAAAAGAUAAAUGUACCUACAUUUAUUUUUUUUAAAAACACCCUCCUUUCUAUAAAAAAUAUUCUGCACUUGCGCGAAAACUGGUGGGCGGUAAGGACAUUUUUUCAACCAAAUAGAUGCAUUAGUGGGCGGUAGGUAGAAAAAGGUUGACCAGAAAAGUAUGGUAUACAUGUAAAGAACAACCACGGAGGGGAAAGAAUCUUAAUUCAUAAAUGUAUAAAAGAUAAAACUCUAAUUAUUGAAGCAUAUUAAAUAAAAAGUAGUAUAAUACAUCCUAUAAAGAAAAAUGUGUAGAUAAUUACAAUAAAGAAAGCCUUCUGUAUGACUGAGGAGCUAUAUGGUUACUGAUUUCUGCGGUAUAAUUAAAGUAUUUUAAUAUGAAAUUUGUACGCUUGUUUAGAAUUACCUUGUCUAUCAUUUUGCUUAAAAUUUAAGUGAUCUCAUUAAGGCUUGUAAAAUCACUUACAUCAGACACUGUUUACAGCCAAAGGCCUCUAUAUUCACGUUUUGUAUGAAAUCAUCAAAUUAUGCAUGACCAAUCUAGUAAAAUUCACGGACAUCAUAAGCUUAACGAUUUAUACUUAACUGUAACCUAUUAUGAGAGAAAUUGGAAAAUAAAAGUGGCUUGUCUGUGUAGCGUUAUUCACUAGUACACUUUAAAUAUGCACCAAUUACGCAAAUUAGUUGCAUUCUUCGGCAAAAACCCAUACCGCAAACGCCUAUAAAAGUCCAAUAGGGCGCCAAGACUAAACCAAAGAAAUUCAAAGAUUUUAGGGAAGGCUUUGGAAGAGAAAACUGUAUUCAUAGUUGGCAUGACUUAUUCAUUAAUCAUUAUAUUAAAUAUUCACUUCUGAUGUUCUAUUUUCAACAUUGAAUUGAACUUAUGAAGGACUUAUAGCAAAGUAUUUGCAUUAACACAUAAGGUGGUCUUUAAUCAAUUAUUUGCGCAUGGCACCAUGGUCUGGUCAAGAUGCUAUUAAGAUAUAGUAGAAACCAUUGUAUCUUAUGAGGUCUUUGAAUGGAUUUAUGCAAGAACACAGUUUCUGAUUUGGUAUAAGCUUCUACUCCAUAAAAUAUAAAAGGGGCAGCUAGUGAAUGUUUGCCUAAGGAAUUUUUUCUUAUUCCAUUAAUUAAGACCCAAAAAUCGAUCUCCAUGACCUUUUAAUAGGACACACUGGUAGAAUCAGGCACAUAACAGUCAUCGGGCCUUAUGCUAAUAGCUACUUUCAUAUUUUGGAUUAAUAUAGUGUUCAACAUAACAGUUCCUGUUUAAUUAAAGGGACACUAUAGUCAGCUAAACAACUUUAGCUUAAUGAAGCAGCUUUGGUGUAUAGAACAUGCCCCUGCAGCCUCACUGCCCAAUCCUCUGCCAUUUAGGAGUUGAAUCCCGUUGUUUAUGAACCCUAGUCACACCUCCCUGCAUGUGACUUGCACAGCCUUCCAUAAACACUUUUCUGUUUAGUUAAAGGACCACUAUAGCGCCAGGAAAACAUACUUGUUUUCCUGGCACUAUAGUGCCCUGAGGGUGCCCCCAACCUCAGGGUCCCCCUCCCGCCGGGCUGGAUGGAGAGGAAGGAGUUAAACUUACCUCUUUCUCCAGUGCCGGGCAGGGAGCUCUCCUCCUCCUGUCCUCCCUCUUCUCCUCCUCUUGGGCUGAAUGCGCAUGCGCGGCAGGAGCUGCGCGCGCAUUCAGCCAGUCCAUAGGCUGAAUGUGGAGGUCCUCUAGCGGCUGUCAAUGAGACAGCCACUAGAGGCUGGAUUAACCCUAUUUUAAACAUAGCAGUUUCUCUGAAACAGCUAUGUUUAUAGAAAAAAGGGUUAACUCUAGAUGGACCAGGCACCCAGACCACCUCAGUAAGCUGAAGUGGUCUGGGUGCCUAUAGUGGUCCUUUAAGAUUUUCUUAUCCCCUGCUAUGUUAAUAACUUGCUAGACCCUGCAAGAGCCUCCUGUAUGUGAUUAAAGUUCAAUUUAGAGAUUGAGAUACAAUUAUUUAAGGUAAAUUACAUCUGUUUGAAAGUGAAACCAGUUUUUUUUUCAUGCAGGCUCUGUCAAUCAUAGCCAGGGGAGGUGUGGCUAGGGCUGCAUAAACAGAAACAAAGUGAUUUAACUCCUAAAUGACAGUGAAUUGAGCAGUGAAAUUGCAGGGGAAUGAUCUAUACACUAAAACUGAUUUAUUUAGCUAAAGUAAUUUAGGUGACUAUAGUGUUCUUUUAAGUUACCAAACACAACACAUUAUCUUCCUCACUGCGUUUAAGUGAAGAAGUUAGCUUAUUUUAAGUUAUGUAUGGAAAAGGGUAUGCAAUUUGGAAGGAAUAUUGUAGGUUGUAUUUGGUAAUUCUUUUUUAAUGUGAGAUAUUAAUUGGAAAAAAAAUGCAAAAAAAUUCAAUAAGUUCCCUAGAGCAGUGUUUUCCAAUUGGUGUUCUGCGGAACCCUAGGGUUCCACGAGAACAAAAUUUGGGUUCUGAUGCAAUUCGCCACAACUAAGAUGGCCACCGCUACCUGCUGAUCCCCGAAGGUCAGAAACAGAAGAGAUCACCCAACCGCAAUCUCUAAAGAGUUAGCAGGAGCACAAUCUAACGCCUGCCCUGCCGUCAGUCCGCCUUUCCGUCAGCCCACCCUGCCGUCAGUGCCUGCCAUGCCAUCAGUCAGCCUGUCCAUCAGAGAGCCUGCCCUGCCUUCAGAGAGCCCACCCUGCCAUCAGCAGGCCCGAACUGCCAUCAGCAUGGGCAUUGAAAUUGUUUGUUUGGGACAUUGAAAGGCUCUUUAAGGUAGGGACAUAGAAAGCUCUGUUAGGUAGGGACAUUGAAAUUCUCUGUUAGGGACAUUGAAAGGUUCAGUUAGGUAGAGACAUUGAAAUUCUCUGUUAGGGACAUUAAAAGGAUCUGUUAGGUAGGGACAUUAAAAGGCUCUGUCAGGGGCAUUGAAAGACUCUGUUAGGGGCAAAAAACUGUUAACUGAAAAAAGUUACUUGGGUUGGGCUUCUCAUCCUUUUUUUUGUUAAACUUAUUUAGAAAUUAUUUAAGAUAUAUAUAUAUAUUUGUGGUUGGAAAAAUAUUAGUGAUAAGUGAAUCGGGUUAAUACAAUGUUGGUUGGGUUGUGCCGUAACCAACCUACGGGUAUGCCUGUAAUAAAAGAGGGUGGCAAAAUAAAAGGUGUUAAAAAUGGUUAUAAAGUAAAGCAAAUGGGGUGAGGUGGUUGGGAUUAUCUGAACAAGAACAGCCCAGGUAAGAGGGUAGUGGGAGUUUUUAUAGCAUAAGAUAGAUUCAAAGUCCUCCCACAAAUACAGGCCUACAGCCUUAAAACUUGUGGUCAGAAACAUAUUAGUAAUAUACGUAAAUCGGGUUAAUACAAAAUUGGUUGGGGUGUGCCGUACCCAAUGUAUGGGUAGGCCUGUAAUAAAAGAGGGCAAAAAGUUAUCAAAGAAGAGCACACUUUAUUGCAUCACAUUUACAAGGCCAAACAUUUAAAAGCUUUCCUCAUUUCUUUCCGGGAUGAGGUAUGUACUGAUUGUAAACUGAGUAUUACCAUUUCCCCAAUUUUUUAAGGUUAUGUUUAGUGUCAGUGCUGAAAGCGGCUGGAGCUGCCCCUAUUCUGAAUAAAUGACCUGAAAAAGAAGACGGGUUGAAACCCAAUCUAAAGAGAAGUGUUCUAAUGUAGAAUAUGAGCUUAGCAGUAGUCAGAGAGACAAGUGGUGAAUUGUGUGUGACAUGACUGUAUAUGGGUAAGUAGGAAUUGAGUAUUUAAACUGGGCACCACUUGUUCUCGGUGGGAUAAAGUGGCAUAGCGGAUGGAUGAGUCAUUUGGUUUGUUUUAGAGGUUAGUAGAGAAAGUAUAUAGUGAUUGUGAUGUUUAGUGAUAUCAGAUAUUUUUAAUCUAGAGAUGAUGUCCGUCUGUAUAGCUACUGUAAACUCUCGGGGUCUAAAAACCAUAGAAAGCUAUAUAACUAGCCGGUUUAGUUACUUGAUUUGUGGGACUGUCGAAUGGUCGUGUGUCCAGUAAAUCGGAGAGGGUUCAGAAUAUUGGAUCAUCGAUUGGUAACCUGGACUAAGUUUAUCUGUUUUAUUGAUAUCCCGCAAUAUACUUUUAAUAGGAUAGGAAGUGGUAAAUGUAUAUGAUUGCUAUGAUACUUGGUGAGUACGUGAUGUACGUGUGUUGUGUGCCAAUUUAAGGUGAAGGUGGCAAAAAGAAGAAAAGGCUACCAUGGAUUCUAUGGAGAAAUGCUCCUGGACGUGGAAUUCCAUGGCAAACCUAUGAUAAAUUUUAAGAGCCCUAUCAUCAGCUGUUUUGUGAUAUCAGAGAGGGCAGAACGUGAUAAUGACUGGGCUGGCUAGUCCAUCACAAGCUUGUGGAAUAGCGGAGUUCUGGAUAGGAGCCUGUCUGAUGUGGGGAUUGAGAGCAUGAGGAGCGUUUGCAAGACUGACACUGUCAUAUCUCUUUGCUCCAUGACCUCCGAGUCCCCCAACCACACAACUGAUGGCAUGAGAGCUCCCAUUCCACUUCUGUCCAGAGCUACCCAUUGUUUUUGCGGGUAUAGCAGAUGCCAAUCAAGUAUCCGUUGCAAAACAGUGGUCUGAUGAUAUUUUUUUAAAUCAGGUAAAGCCAAGCCUCCCCUGUGUCUGAGCAGACAGAGACAAUCGUGGCACAGGCGGGAUCGUUCCCCCCCGCCAAACAUAUCCAAUCACCGCAGUCUUCAAAGAAGAGAAAAAAUUUUGCUGUUGGGGUGAGUGGAAUUGUCUAGAAGAGGUAUAAUACCCUUUGGAGCACAUUCAUUUUAACUACAGCCACCCUACCAUGCCAGAAUACAUGGGGGUACAACCAUUUCCGUAGAUCCGCCAGUAACGUGUUCAACAAGUGAAUACAAUUGAAUUGAUAUAGAUCUGUGGUCACCCCAACUCCUAGGUAUUUCAUUUUACUACAGCACCAGUGGAAUGGAAAUAAAAUAAAGUGUCUAGGGCUGCAUAGUCGUCAGCAGGGAACGUGACAUUCAACACUUUGCAUUUUGACAGAUUAAGCUUAAAGCCAGAAAACAUGCCAAAGCUCUUGAAUGCCAACAAGAGACAGGAUGAGGUGAUCCUCAGAUUUGUCACAAAGAAAAGGAGGUCAUCUGCAUAAGUAGCGACCUUAUGUAUCUUGCAGACAUAUUCACAAAAUUAAAUGACGUACGUUUAUCACUCCAAGGAAAAAACACUAAUAUUUUUAAUGCAAGAGAUAGAAUAUUUUCACUGUCUCGUAAGCUGCAGUUAUGGACCUCAUCUGUUGAGCAAAAUAAUUUGAACGCUUUGCCAACACUUAAAGGACCACUCUAGGCACCCAGACCACUUCAGUUUAAUGAAGUGGUCUGGGUGCCAGGUCCAGCUAGGAUUAACCCAUUUUUUCAUAAACAUAGCAGUUUCAGAGAAACUGCUAUGUUUAUGAAUGGGUUAUUUCCUAUUUCCUCUAGUGGCUGUCUCAUUGACAGCCACUAGAGGCGCUUGCGUUUCUCACUGUGAUUUUCACAGUGAGAGCACGCCAUAGGAAAGCAUUAUGAAUGCUUUCCGAUGUGACCGGCUGAAUGCGCGCGCAGCCUUGCCAAGCGAUUCAGCCGACGGGAGGAGAGAAGGAGGAUCGGAGGAGGAGAGCCUACCCAGCGCUGGAAAAGGUAAGUUUAAACCCCUUUCCCCUUCCAGAGCCGGGCGGAGGGGGGUCCCUGAGGGUGGGGGCACCCUCAGGGCACUAUAGUGCCAGGAAAACGAGUAUGUUUUCCUGGCACUAUAGUGGUCCUUUAAGGAUUUUCUUGAAGAAUCAGAAACUAAACUUGAAGAUGAAAUUCGCAAUAAAAUUUUAUAUUUGCUUCGCAAUUUGAUCACAUCUAUUUAUCAGUAUUUUCCAUUCUUGAAUUAAAAAAAUAAUUCCUGAGUUCGAAAUCCAUUUAUAAGAGACAAGCCAGCCAAUUUUUCUGAUGAAGAUUUUGAAAAUCUGAUCGAUAUAACUUCUGACAGUCAACUAAACCAAAAAUUUCAAGAAGUUUCUCUUAUUGCUUUUUGGGGUGAUUUACGCGAAGAAUACCAAGAAUUGUCCCAGCGGGCAAUCAAAGUUCUGUUUCCAUUCACCAGCACGUACUUAUGUGAAACUGGAUUCUUGUUUUACUCUGCAACAAAAACAAAGUAUCAUAAUCGACUUGAUGCAGCUGUAGACAUGUGAAUACAAUUGUCAACAAUUAAACCUGACUCUAUGGGAGACAGCAAGAUAAUGGUCCACACAAUUAGGACAUAAUAAGAUCGGUGGACCACAAGGGUAAGUGCUUGCACUUUUAUAAUAUGUAAUUCAGCCUUUGAGAGUAGCUCAAUUCAUGAAUAAGUCUUAUAAAUAGUUAAGCAGAGAUGGUUAUGGGUUUGGCGUGUUUUUACAUUGAUCAUCUUCAUUAAGAGCUUUUUUACUGGAUGUCUAUUUGGUGAGGAUGCAACUACAACAAGAUAUUUCAGAAUGUGAAAAUACAUCUUCUACAGAUGUUCAAGACUCAAGAAGCAGCUUUAAUUUCAAAAAUAUCCUCAGUUUAGGACAUGUCCUGAACAAAGUUUGUUGCGCAUACUGAAACGUCGACUAUUGGAUUUUUAUCUUGAUCAAACCUCUAUUGAUGCUGUAAAGACCUCGAGUGCUGGUUUGAUACUUCAAUGUAUACAUAUAUAUAUAUAUAUAUAUAUAUAUAUACACAGGUGACACUCAAAAAAAUUAGAAUAUCGUUCAAAAGUUCUUUAAUUUCAGUAAUGCAGCGUAAAAGGGGAAACUAAUAUAUGAGAUAGAUGCAUUACAUGCAAAGCAAGAUCGUUCAAGCCGUGAUUUGUCAUAAGUGCAAUGAUUAUGGCUUACAGCUCAUGAAAACCCCAAAUCCACAAUCUCAGUAAAUUAGAAUAUUGUGAAAAGGUGCAAUAUUCUAGGCUCACAGUGUCCCACUAUAAUCAGCAAAGUAAGCCAUAACACCUGCAAAUGGUUUUGAGCCUUUAAAUGGUUUCUGUCUGGUUCAGUAGGAAUCACAAUCAUGGGGAAGACUGCUGACCUGACAGUUGUGCAGAAAACCAUCAUUGGGGGAAAGCCUCAAAAGGUAAUUGUGAAGGAAGUUUGAUGUCCCCAAAGUGCUGUAUCAAAGCACAUUAAUAGAAAGGUAUGUGGAAGGGAAAAGUGUGGAAGAAAAAGGUGCACAAGCAGCAGGGAUGACCGCAGCCUGGAGAGGAUUGUCAGGAAAAGGCUAUUCAAAAGUGUUGGGGACUUUUACAACAAGUGGACUGAGGCUAGAGUCAGUGCAUCAAGAGCCACCACACACAGACGGAUCCUGGACAUGGGCUUCAGAUGUCAUAUUCCUCUUGUCAAGCCGCUCCUGAACAACAAACAAUGUCAGAAGCGUCUCCCUUGGGACCUGGUCUGUUGCUCAGUGGUCCAAAGUCCUCUUUUCUGAUGAGAGCAACUUUUGCAUCUAAUUUGGAAACCAAGGACCCAGAGUCUGGAGGAAGAAUGGAGAGGCACACACUGCAAGAUGCUUGAAGUCCAGUGUGAAGUUUCCACCGUGUGUGUUGAUUUGGGGAGCUAUGGCAUCUGCUGGUGUUGGUCCAUUGUGCAGCCACUGCACAGGGUCAAUGCAGCCAUCUACCAGGAGAUUUUGGAGCACUUCAUGCUUCCUUCCGCAGAUGAGCUUUAUGGGGAUGCUGACUUCAUUUUCCAGCAGCACACUGCCAAAAGCACCAACGCCUGGUUCAAUGACCGUGGGAUUACUGUGCUUGAUUGGCCAGCAAACUCACCUGAUCUGAACCCCAUAGAGAAUCUUUGGGGCAUUGCCAUGAGAAAGAUGAGAGACAUGAGACCGAACAAUGCAGAAGAGCUGAAGACUAUUGAAGUAUCCUGGUCUUCCGUAACACCUCAGCAGUGCCACAGGCUGAUAGCUUCCAUGCCACGCCGCAUUGAGGCAGUAAUUGCUGCAAAAUGGGCCCAAACCAAGUACUGAGUCCAUAUGCAUGCUUAUACCUUUCAGUGGUCCGAUAUUGUUCUAUGUAAACUCCUUAUUUUAUUGAUUGCAUGUAAUAUUCUAAUUUACUGAGAUUGUGGAUUUGGGGUUUUCAUGAGCUGUAAGCCAUAAUCAUCGCACUUAUGACAAAUCACGGCUUGAACUAUCUUUAUUUGCAUGUAAUGCGUCUAUCUCAUAUGUUAGUUUCCCCUUUUACGUUACAUUACUGAAAUAAAUGAACUUUUGCACUAUAUUCUAAUUUUUUGAGUAUCACCUGUAUAUAUAUCUUUUUUUUUCAGCUUGACAAUUUUGCAUUUUAGAAUAACCUUGUUGGUUUUCCACAAUUCACCGUUCACCGUCAUUGAAUAACCUAACUGGAGUGUGUGCCAUUGAAUUAUAGAACCAUCUACACUCUAUAUUUGAUCCAACAUUAUUAUGCUUUUUUGUAUCUAUCACUUCAUUUAUUUUUAUAUUUUUCCAGCUGCUGCAAACCUAACAGAUGGUUGUACAGCAUAAAGGAAAGAGAAAUUGUUCAGUUUCUUCAUGUUGCAACUGUAGACCCUAUUUAAACCUUUGGUCACAUGUUCAAUUCCUAGCAGGGUCAACUCUGUCUCUCACCCUUGCAAGGUCAUUAAAACGAGAAUCAAUGAAUUGAGUAAUUGUGACUGGUUUGGUUAAAAUCCAACAAAGCAUGCUAAGUACUUAAGUUCUUUGUGAGCAAAUUUAGUUAACAAUACAUAAUUGGGCAGACUAGAUGGGCCGAAUGGUUCUUAUCUGCCAUCACAUUCUAUGUUUCUAUGUAAUUAAUAUUACCAUAAAUACCAACAAAUUACAUUAAUUUCAGCUGGUGUUUUGGUCAUGUUUGGAGAAGUGCAUAUAUUAAAGAGAAGCUGGACUGCAGGCACUAUACCAACUUCAACAAGAUGAAAUUGUUAAACUGCCUACAAUGGUUCUUUAAGGCUGGACUCAGAUGAACCCUGUUGCAAGUAUAGAUGCAGAUUAGGUGCAAGUGGAAGCUAAACUGAAUGUGGGAAUACAUUUAUGUAAACAGGUAGGUAACAGGCAGUAGACCAAUGGGAGUAAUGGAUGUGGUUUGGAUGAAAGAGGUCACUCUGUUUUGAAUCAUCUUGUGAAAUGGUAUUGUGGCGGACAACUAGUAUAUCUCUUCCACGGAUUCCCUUUCCACCAACAUCGUAGCUCCAAUACUCCUGUAAAGAAAUAUUGCUGGUAUCACCUUUCCCCCCACCCAUUAGUCAUGACUGAAUGCUGGGAUUAGAUCUGUUUAAUGCAGGCAAAGCUUCAGAAUUUAUACAUACAGUAAACUCCUCCUCUGUGCCUGAGAGAUAAUUGAGUCAGGAACUGUACAAACUCAAUUAUCUCCAGGUACAGAAAAAUACAACAAUUUUCCAACAACCCAAAAGUACCGCCAAAAUUCAUGAAACCCCUCAAGAGUCACAUCCCCGGAAAACCCUUACCUGAGUGACUAUCCAAAAAUCACUCAGAUCGGUUUGGUAGUUUGGAAUUGCCAUUGAGGCAAAGUUUUUACAAGCCGGCCACGAGGUGUAAGCCCAGUUUGAGGGAUUUUAUAUGAAAACUACAGACAACAUACAAAAGCUUUCAAGUGUUGAAUGCCCCCCCUUGUCGGUAGUUCGUAUCUCCCAAAUGCUGUUCGUAUAGGUGGUCGAAACUUAUCCGGCAGCCAGAGGCGUAACUAGAAACCAUGGGGUCCCGGUAGGAAGAUUGCCCUGGGGCCUCCCACACAUCUCUGCCCCCACAUGUCCCCAUCCCCCCACACACAUGCAGAAAUACAGAUACACAUGCAGACACACACAUGACACACACAUACAAGCCCACACAUAUGUAGACACACAUACAUACAGGCACACACACACACACAAACACACAGACAUGUAGAGACACCCACACAGACACACACAUGCACGAACAGACACACACAUACACUCAAAGACACACACACACUCAGACUCACAGACACACACACUUACAGACACACACUCAGACACUCACAGACACACACACGCUCACAGACACAUACACACUCACAGACACAUACACUCACAGACACAAACACUCACAGACACACACACACACAUACACUCAUUAUUCAUAUUUUUAAAAUUUAAAAAUGUCCACCCAGCCUCCUUACCUGGAGAGCUGGUGUGGAUCUGUCUAUGGGGUCAGUGGGGAUUUAGUGAGGCGGGUGGCUGUGUUCCCGGCAGAGGCGGUGAGGAAGCUGUGUUCUCCCUACUCUGCUCCCUCACGUUGGCUGUCUACUGAUGCUGGGAGCCGUAAAAUGACAUCAUAUUCCAGCUCCAGGCAUCAGCAAACGGCGUGCACGGGAGCAGAGCAGGGAGAACAAAGCUCCCUCGCUGUCUCUGCCGCCCACUGGGGGCACAGCUCUCCCCUCCUGUCAGACACCCGGGAAAUAUCCAGGCACCCCAUGGUCGAAGGGGUCAUGGCUGCCGCCGGGCCCCCUGGAAUGAGUAGGUACACCACUGCGACAGCAGUUCCUGUCUUCACCGGUGUUUGCGGGAGUGCCUAGCCGAAAUCAGUUCCAGGCACUCGACGACCAAGUACCGUUGCCUGCAUUCAGGAGACAAAGGGGGACAUUCUAUUAAUUGUUUCCAUUGUGGUUUUCAUACUAGAUACUUAGUGUUCCAUGUUCUAAUGAGGUGUUGGGGUGGUCCUCAAUUGGGAACCGAACCAGGUGGGUUGAAACAAAUAAACGAACAUAAAGUACCUUCACAGGUAUACCAAGGGUGUCAACCAUAAUUAAAUUUACCUUAAUUAAAGGAAUGCUACAUAGUGCCCCAUAACAUUAUAUUUUUAGUACCCUAAAUUUUUAGGGGCGUCGUUUGGCUUCCAGUCUGUAAAAGAACAAGUGAAGUAAAUGACCUACUUGGAAUCCAGCAUCGAGAAAGCUUUUUUUUCUGCAGCCCACUAUGCCUCUGUUGAUGUAAUCAGACUUGUCCAAUCUAAUGCUUUUCAUAGAGAAGCACUGUGGACUUAAUGUGCAUGUGCAGAAAUCUCUGCACUGCGACAAUUAAAUGCAUCUCAUAAAGAAGCAAUGAUUCCAGUGCUUCCUUAUGAGAAGUGAUGUGGAAUAGUGAUAAGCAAGUCCUCCAUUCUGUACUAAACUAUCCCUUUUAGGUUUAAUAUAUAAUCAAAGAAACUAGGAGACUCUACACGUUCUUGAUAAGAUUGAUACAAUGAAAUUAGUUCAUUCAUUCAUUCGUUUCUACCAUUCCCAUAUGCUAAAGCAAUGCACUAAAUCCCAAAACAGUUGAUACGAAUGAUUUGUUAAUUCUGUGCGCAAACAUUGUUCGGUUCACUCCCAUUAUUAUUUCAUCCAUGCAUUUGUAUUACCCGUUUGGCAGUUUGCAUUGCAAUAAGUAAUGUAUUACGCAUAUACUUUACAGACAGUACACUGCCGGUCUGUAAUUAAAAAAACUAGUGAUAUGAAUGUACGAAAUGCACAUUCAUUUGUACGCAUUCGUUAGUUCGGCUCAAUCUCAUCAGAUUUAAUGGGAGUGAACAGAACUAACAAAUGAAAAAAUGAUUGAAUAUAUUGCCAUUCGUUCAUUAGGUUAUUAGUUUGGCUUUUUGAAUUACACAGACAGUGUAAUACAAAAAGCCGAAUGAACAAACAAACGAAAGGCUCAUGGAAGAAUUUUGUUGGACGCCCAUUCGGUUGUUCGUUCAUUCGUUUGUCUAGCCAUUCGGUAUUUGUACAAAUGGACAAAAAUCCAUUUGUACGAAUAUGAAUGCCCAAGUCCCAAGUCUAAUAUGUUAAUAUUGUUAAUGAUCUGGAAGACUGUUCGAUACAUAGACUGAUUGAUAAAGCAUUGUUAAGGAUGCAAUGCGGUAAUAUGAAGAAUAUAAAAAACUUAUUAACGAGCGGUAUGUUUAGUCCAAAAUGGCAACAUUUUAUAUGCAGGAAUAAAAUGCAAAGGGCACUGCACACUUGGUUCUGAUGAAUUUCGUCCAUGCAAAUGUUUUAGGAAAAACAAUUCAGACAAACCAAAAAAGGAGGAAAAUGCACCUAUUUAUGUGCUGCAAAUAUAAAUAUAUAAAUACAUUUUGUUACAGCUUCUCCUUUUUUCCCAUCUAUUUGUCACUUAUCUUUUGAUCUGUGAAUAAAAUCAACAUUUAGUGACUGUACUUUAGCCAUCAAUCAUCUUUUUCCAUCAACCAUCUUUUUUUUUCUGGCACCAUGGAUCGAACUCCAAAUUACAAAACAAACAAGGCCGUUCAUUCACUCCCCGUAGUGUUUGCUUUGUGGUGUGUUUAUGGUAUUUUGGAGUUAUAGAAUUCAGAUGGAUCGCAAAUUGCUCAAAAUUUUGAUGAAUCACGAUUUAUUUCAAACCAACGUCUAAUGGACAAAUCCAAUACACAAGUGGUGUCAUGCAUGUACCAUUCAUGUUGAGUUAAAUAUGCUCUGGUAGAAGAGCUAUAAAAUAAAGGAUUAAUUCCCUGAGGCGCUAUAUAUAAUAAUACAAAAUAUCCACAUUUCUUACUAUGUAGUGUUGAUAUUACAUUUUAAAAGCCAAAAACUAUUCUUGCUGUCCCAAAUUUUAGCUUUAGCUUCCCUACAGAACUUUAGCUCUAUUUCUCCUCAAGGCAGCUGGUGACCACUCAACAGUGGAAACUCAAUGAAUUCACUCUUUGUCAAGUUGCACAAAAAAAGCAGCUACCAAGAUAAUCAACCUACAACAUUCCUGAUAGACUUCCUUACAAGUUGAAGCGGAAAAAAGAUUUGAAGAAAACUGGAACAAUGGAAGUAAGUUUCAACUUGCAUUCAAAGUGCAACCCAGUAAAUGAAACACUCUCUGAUUACAAAAACUCCUUGUUCCACUGGUAUUUGAAGCCAGGUCAUCUGGCCUGUAUAUCAGUGUUGGGGGAUAAUUGCACGCACCUCUUUCGCUAACCCUCCAUUCCAUCCAAUCCCUACUUAUUACAUACAUAUUUCACUAUUCUGAUACUUUAUUUUGUGACUAUGUCCUUUUUUCUGUUCUUUGAAUGUGUGUUCUGCAUUAGAAUGAAAAAAAUGCAUAAAUGCUAAAUUGUUGUUACACUUAAUUGCUGAUCAAUGGAUUUUCAUUUACAGACAUAUAAUCAAUUCAAUUAAAACAUAAAAAGUAAUUAUAAUUUCUAGAAAUAUUUAUAUAUAUUUUUUAAAUAAUUUGAUAUAGAACUGGUUUUGAUUAGGCUUCAAGUUGUUUGUCGGGUUCAGAUGAUUUAAUUAACUGCAUUUGACUGAGUUGAUGUAGUCAUCAUGAGUAUUAUAAAAGUGUAGCAUGCUUCUUAUGGGAAUUUUUAUUAAAAGCAUGUUGCCAAAAUCUUUGAUUAGCAAACAUCCCCCAAACAGACUGUUGUAAAGUGAUCAUUACUUUUUGUCCCUCAUAUCUCUAGCAAACACAUAACUUACAAAUGUCCUCUCAGGAGCAGCUUGGUAGGAGACUUGGAACUCUAGAAGAACCAGGAAUUCCAGAAAUAAAUAAUAAAAUGUUUGUUUUUUUUUCAAAAAAACUUAAAUCCUUUAAUUUUCUCUUAAUAAGUUCCAGGACUAAUUAUCUUUAUUUACCAUCUAAAGAUACAAAAUAUAUUUUCAAAAUCAAAGAUCUGUUUCACAUAUAGUUUUUAAAGAUCAAUUUAUUUCAUUUUGUUCUAGUUAAGCAGUUUGACAGAUAUGAUUUAUUUGAAGGUUAUAACAUAGUAAUGAGUUAGCCCCUUGCUGGGUAAAACAGCACAUUAUUAAGAGAUAAGAAUGAUGUAUUGCAGACUCCAACAUUUAACUUGCUGAGAGGUAGAAUGUGAUAAUGUGCAAGAAACCCUUACUUUUUUUAUCCUGCUUUCAAUACACUUAGAGUGAAGCUCUUUCUACACUUUACCUCUGGCUGACCUCCUGCAUCUACUACCAUAGCUAAUAAACUCAGCCAGUUAUAGGAAUCCACAGUUUGGAGGUUUAAGAUAAUUAUUGUAGUUCGAAUUCUUCAAUAUUAGGUCGGUUAAGCAGCAAUAUUUUAUACAUGCACAUAUGUGAUCACAUUACCAGUGUUGCUUUUGUUACAUGGUAAGUUUAAACUUGUUACGCUUAAACAAAAUUAUAUUUAUUUAUAAUGCAGAAAUUAUAUUCAAUUGAUAGUUGCUAAACAAAGCAUACAAAUAUACAUAUAAGGUGCUAAAAUGUAUAUAUUAGAAGCUUGGAAGUUAAGGAAUAUGCAAUAGUAAAUAACCUGCACAGUGCAAAUUUAAUUUACAAAAUUAAUCAAUUCUAAUUUUACAGUGUAAAAGAUGCAAGCAGCUAUUAAACUGUCCGCUAUGGAUCAUAUAGGUACUAAUGUAUUCUAAUAGCCAGGAGUGUCACAAUUAGCUGAAAUAUAACAAAACACUAUUUUGAAAUUGAAAUUCAUCCAAAUUUUAUCCGACGGGCAGGUCAUCUGAAUUAUGUAAUUCCAUAAAUAAAGAAAUCAAAUAAAUGAUAAAGAAAUAAACCAGUGAUCAGUUGAACCCAACACUUAAAAUAUACGGUCAAGUGCUUAAAAGUAGCCAAGCGCUCAAAAUAACAUAAACCUUUAACUCCCUCACGUUAAAAUUAAGUUUUGACCUAAUUAGUUAAAAUUAUGGGGUAUACCUUUCAAAUAACUUCUCAUACUUUCCUUUUUCAUCUAUAUGUACCUAAUAAAAAUAAAUCUCUUCAUAUGCUUGUGAUACAAGUCUUUUUUUUAAAAAUUCUUUAUUUUUGCAUACGAUAGGCAAUGCAAGAAUAAUACAACUUGGAGGCUUGCGCAGAAGCCAAAAUAUAAAAGAGCAUACUUAUAAACAUAAAAAUUUACAUCGGCCCCUAUGACAAGCCGCUUUAUAGAUUCCAUACAACUUGCCCCCCAUCGUGGAUUUUAUGUUUUUUAUGUGGCUACAUCACUUAAAUUCCCAAUUUUAUGUGCGAUAGGCAUAGCAAGAGCAAUACAACUGUGAGGCUCGCACAGGAGCCUAAAUGCUAGAAAUCAGACUUGAAAACACAAAAUAUGACAUUAGCCCAAAAGACAAGCCUCUUAAUGAAUUCUAUUCCACUCGCCUCCCAUCGAUGAUAUUGUAUCUUUUAGUCAGGCCAUGCAUCCUGAGAAGGAGCCCUAACUCCAUCCAUGUCAGGGUGUACUUUAGGCAUCCUCAAUUCUCCGUCAGUAUACUCAUGCCUGAGUGAGGAAAGUAAAUAAUGCCACCAUAGACUGAGACAAUGUUAGAAAUAGGGAGGUAAAAAGAAAAAGAUACCCUUGUAAACCAAGGGUUUAGUAACAAGAUGGAGAAAACGUGAAAAAGAAAGAUAGGGAAAGAAAAGAAAAGAUAAGGCGAGGAAGAGGGGUUAAGAAGACGAGAAAGAUGUGAGUAUGAAGGAUAGGGAGGAUGGGAUGGGGGGAGUGGAGGGGGAGGCGAACGAGGCUAAAGUAUUCCAUUCCGACUCUGACCAUGCAGUGUCGGAUCCCGAUUUAAACCAUAUAUUCGACCCAUCAAUCGUUACCGGAGCCCAUUACACUAUUGUCCCAUGGUUCCCAAACCCUCUGGAAAGUUACGGUUGUUCCUCUUAAUCUAGCAGUCAGAUCUUCCAUGAUUCUGCUUUCCUUUAUCCUAGAGAUCACCCCCCCAAACUCCGGGCCUCCAGGUGACAGCCACGCCGUUGCCACAGCUCUGCAUGCACUUAAAGUUAUCACCCGUACCAGUUUCUGCUCUCUUCUCGUCCAUCUCUCAAUAGAUCUAUUUAACAGGUAGAUCCAUGGGUCCAAGGCCAGGGGUUUGCCAAACGUCUGCUUCAAGAGGUCUUCAACAGACUUCCAGAAACCGUGGAUUUUCAGGCAUUCCCACCACAUGUGGAGGUAUGUGCCUCGGAAUCCGCAACCCCUCCAGCAUUCAUCAGUAUCUAUCUUGUGCAUUUUGUGCAAAGUUAUCGGAGUAGUAUACCACCUGAGCAUGGUUUUCCAUGCCUGCUCCUGUUGCAUGACACAUAUCGAGGCGCUCUUGGUUGCCUCCCAGAUCUCCUGCCAUUCGAUUCCUUCCAGUUCCUCCCCCAGGUCCGACUCCCAUCUAUCAGUGUAUUUCAAUCUACCCCAUUCUUUAGUCUCUGUGCUGAGAUGAGCAUACAGAAGCGUAAUCAUUCCUUUAGGGGUUGAUCCCUCUCUACAUAGUCUCUCGUAAAAAGUAAACUGUCCCUGGGCUGCAGCUUUAAUACGGGAUCUUCUAGCGAAGUCCCUUAUCUGGACAUAUCUAAAGUAGUCUGCUGGAGUCAGGUGGGUAUUUUGUUGGAGGUCUUGAAAAGGUAUGACAUCCCCCUCUCUAUAUAGUUGGUAAAUCCGCUGUAGCCCAGUCUUUUCUAUAUUUCGAAAGUUCCUAGGGGCCAUACCAGGUGGAAACUCUCUAUUUCUGAGUAUCGGAGCCAUAGGGGAGGGGGAUGAAGUGAGUCCAAAUUUGACACAGUUCGCAUCCCAUAAUCGAAAAGAGUUAAGGAUGACCGGGCAUGUGUGAUACAAGUAUUGAUGACAGUAAAGAUCAGUAUCGCUAGACGCUGGAGCACAGCCAUAAUCCCCUGUUAGACUGAGAUUCAAACUCAGGUGAACUUUCAAAGUUUGAUGGAAAAAAGCGGUUUACCCCAAUUUUGAUAAUGAAUUGUAUCACAGUAUAUGAAAGGAGAUCUUACAGUGGUGGCCUAGAUGGUCACCCCCCUUGAAAAACGAGCCCCACUGACAGUGUCAUAUGGAGUAAAUGUUUUUUCUGAUAGUAGUUUAAAUGAAGAAUGAAUGUUAUCCUACGAUUUCUACAUAAUUAAAAUUAAAAUAUAGAAUGCAUAAGAAGUUGGAAUGAAUAUUAUAAAACAUUUAGAUUACCAUGGUUAAAAUUAAAUUCUCCUGGAAUGAUAUAUCGCGAAGUGCAAAAUACUCAAAGAUAUUAUGGAACUAGAGAAAACAAAUGAUGAUUUGGUAUUUGUUACCAUCGCUUCUAAAGACUGAGAAAGCAAGAAUUAAAAAUACCAAUUUUUGAUGUUUUAAAAAUAAAUAAAUAAAUAAAUAAGUUUUGACAGUCAGUUACUUUAAGCAAAAGCGUUGGUAGGUGCCACCCGGUGGUCCGGAGCAAGACCAGCACUUCCACAACGUCAAAACAAUGAAAGAAAUUCUCCAGGCACUCAAGGUGUUCAAGCCGCAGGCAGUUUUAAUGAAACAAAAAAGCUCUCUUUUUUGUUUUAUUAAAACUGCCUGCGGCUUUAACACCUUGAGUGCCUGGAGAAUUUCUUUCAUUGCCUACGCAGUUACUGUAAGUCAAAUAUUUACCUUAAAGCUAAAGUGUUUCUUGAACAUACACCUUUAUGCAACGAUAACCAAAGCAAAUUAGAAUUGCACUAAACUCUCUAUGCUGUAUAUUAGGAAAAGGAGAAUUUUCAACAAUAGUGAGUUACGAGAAAGAUGUCAUGCUGGGCAAGUAGAAAAGGAAAUUCUCUAGUGCCGACAUCUCAAACUCCGGCCCCGAGAUGUUGCUGUAGUACAACUUAUAUUGCAUUCAAAGAAUUCUGGGAGUUGUCAGCCAUCAAUAUUGGGGGUGGUGGGGUUUGAGAUCCAUGCUUUAUCUAAUGAUAAGGAGAAUAAGGAAACAGAGCAAACGGUGAUACCUUUAAUAAAAAAAUUGAUAGACGUGAUACUUUCAUUAAAAACAAUUGAUACACGUGAUACCUUCAUUAAAAACAAAUUGGAUUCUUACAUGUAAAAAGAUAAACUACCUAAUAUCGUGUAUUGGUGGUGUUGCUGCCCCAGUUUCUACUUUUUUGUCUUCAACCUGUUACAUACAGAUAGUCAGGGCCGGCACGUCCUAUAGGCGACUUAGGCAAUCACCUGGGGCGCACCAGCACGGGGGGCGCCAGAUUUGGGUGACUCGGCAAGAGGGACGCGCACAGCGCUCCCUCCUGCCAGUCAUUCAAUGUAGCGUGGCUGGGCAACGUGGACCUCGGUAUAGAAGCUCAGUGAGUACUUCCUGUCAAGUCCGGACGGUUACAGGAAACAGAAGCUCCUGUACCGCGGUCCGCGCCGCCCAGCCAUACUACAAAGCUAGGUAGGAGGCACAACAGGGAGGGGUGGAAAACACUAAGGGGGGAAAACAGGGGGGAGAGGGAUGAUCACUAAUUGAGAGGAGGGGAGAUCACUAUAAAAAAAAAUAAUAAUAAAGAGCUGGUCCCCUCUCAGUCACACAAUGCAUCCCUUUCACACCCAGAAACACACAAUGCAUUCCUUACACACAAACACACACUGUAUCCCCUAUACGCACGCUACAUCCCUUACACAAAUUGGUAUCCCUAUACACUACAUUCUAUAGGAACACACACACAUUGCAUCCUCUACAAUAACACAUCAUCUACACACAAACACUCCACUCCCUGUGAGCGAACUCAUGGGUGGGCCAUGUAGGUGGACUUAUGGGCGGGCCUUGUAGGCAUACUCACGGUCAGGCACUGGGGGCCCAGACCUUGAGCUGUGUAAGGGGCCGCAAAAAAUGGAGCUGCUUCCUGUUCGUUGAUUUUUGUGAUCACUGUUACAAACAGUCUCCAGAGAGCCUCUUCUACAUCAGAUCAGUGGAUCCAGACUACAACCUGAGCCCAUCAUCAUCCUCUUGUCCUCAUCUGGUGGUAGGUAGGCAAUCCAGUAUAUUAUUAGUGGCACUAAUAUCUCAUUUCCCUCACAUUAAAGGGCCACUAUAGUCACCAGAACCAAUACAGUUUAAUGUAGUGGUUCUGGUGUCUAUUGCCUAUCCCUGCAGGCUUUUUAAUGUAAACACACUACUUUUCAGAUAAAAGACACUGUGUGCAGAACUAGCAUUGGCCCAUAUGGCAGAUCAUAUGGGUGGGGCAUUGUGAUGUCACAUGGUGGACAGAACAUAUGUGGAAGGGGUGGGGGGGCAGCAAUUUUUUGUUUGCCUAGGGUGGCGGGAAUCCUUGCACCGGCCCUGCAGAUAGUCUGCGUAACUUCCUGCAGUCCAGCCCCAUCUGAUGGAAUGUUGAAUAUGGGGUUAUUGGCUGUCACUGCCCACUAUCACCGGUAUGAUUUGGUAUGGCAAACGACAGAGUAUAACUCUGCAUCGGUUAUAUCAUCAGAGGAGAGCCUGAUUUACCGUUAAACUAUUUGUAAAUGGUUCAACAAUGAAAUGAGGAUGGUGCUUGUGAACUCCCUUGUAAAUGAAAGGUUUAAAGAGGGAAACACCGGUCAGGAUGAUAGAACACCAAAAAAAUUUAAACAUUUAUAUAAAAUUAAUUUUGUAGUUAAUUAACACAACUUGAUACUUCAUUCUCAAGCAUCUACUAGUGCUAAAAGGAAUACAAUAGUCUGAUUGUGCACAUUGUGAGUUUAUAAACUGAAUUGUGAUAUGUAUGACCUCGUUACUAUUUAUGAUGUUAUUAGAAAUACAAUAUGAAAAGUGGAACUACAGUUUUUGUUGUCUCCAAUGUUAACGAUUUUUCAAGGUUCAUAAACUCCAAGUAAGCCAUGAUUUCAGUUAAGUUAUUUGGUCUGGAAUUAGAAUUCACAUUUUUGUGAAUAAUAACUCUUUAAAAUGUAUUCCAUUGAAUAAUGUGAAGUUAGGAUGGAAAGUCUAUUCAACCUCCAUAUUAUCAUCAUAUUCAGAAUCAAAGGUUGCAGGAGCUGUCAAUUUAAUUUUCUCUUUUUAUACCUCAAUCAGACCACAGAUAAAAAAUAUUGUCUUCAUAAUCUUUAAUCCUUGUGUAUAUCUUUAAAAUAAACAAGUUGUUCCUUUAAUUUGGAAAUAUCUUCCUAUAUUCUUAUUUAUUAGCUUCUUUUUUUUUUUACUAAUAUAAAUACACAAUGUUACACAGCGUAAAAGUGUUGCUCCAAUCAUCUUUAAGUGACAUAGAAAUACAAAUUGAAUUAAUUAAAUUAAUGACUGACGACUGUAUCCAGUUUUGUUAAGUAGGUUCAAAUUUCAUAAAUAUAAUUUUUCCAUCAUGGCUUUUAUUAAUCUUGUGUCUUUAAAGGAGCAGGCCAAUGUUAAAAAACAAUAUUUGGUUUUAACACUCAAAGUGUUCUUUAACCAUAUAGGUGUCAGGCGAUAAUUCAAGUAGAAUGAACUAGGAAUCCCUCUUGGCUUUCAGCUUGACGGGCAUGGGAGUGUUCCAAAAUUAAGACAAAUCAGUUAACCCAGAAGGCCUCCUUUAGGGGACUGUAGGGUCCCUUUAAAUGCAUAUGUCUCAAUAUCAUCUGGGCCUAUACCUUGUAAUCUACACCUAGAUUCCAAUAUUAUAAAGGUUUUAAUUCAACUCCCCUCCACAACCUUCCUCCCUCCUCCUUCACAAUCCUUUCUUUUAUUUUCUUUCUUUAAUAUUGAUUAAUUCAAAACUCCUUUUUCUCCACCAUUUUAUUAUACUAAAUACAUGUUGUAAAAUCUAUAAAUAAAAAAUAAUAAUAAUUUCAAUAAAAAAUAUUUGAAAAUAAAUUGAGCAAUUUGGGGGGGUGGGGGGGCAGACGAAUAUAACAGCUGAAGCAAUAACUUUGGAAAAUAAUCUCAAGGUGUUUAUUUGGCUGCUAAGACUUCACAGCUUUAAAAUGUUGGUUCUGUAGGGAGUUUUUUUUUCUGUGCUAGAGUUUUCUGUGACUUAUUUUUAACUUCGAAGGCAUGCUUUUUCAUUACAGAACUAUGUUCAUUCCUUACCUUCUCUAUUUAUUUCAAACAGCAGUGACAACAUGUGUGGUGCAGACAUUCUUCAUAGCAUAUUAGCAGCAUUCUCAGACACAUUAUUUAAAAGAUCUCUGCUGAUCACGCAACACAUGACAACGUCUAACUUUUAUGAACACUUCAUUUUUUUCCACUAACCAUUGUUUUAGUAUAUAUGGCAGUAAGUUAACAAUUGAGUUAUUCAAUAAAUGAUUUGAUAACAUUCUUGAUCAAAGGCUGUUUUUUUCAGUUUGGCCAUCUUGACCGAAAACAUGAAACCUGAUUUUAACUCAUUCAAAAUACCCUCAACCUUCAUUCUGAGGACACAAGGAUGUGGUGCAUUGAGCUGAGUUCUCCAAUUUAUUUUCGUGAAUUUGUAGUUAUCUGCCUAUUUAUUCUAGGAGACCUUACAUUAAAGGAACACUAAUUUAACUGGUUAUAGUUCCCAGGGUCCCCUGGCACUAUCCCUCCAUUCAAUGUUAAACCAUUUUGGAGGAGUCUAGCACUAAUUAGGGUCACUGGCCACCCACAGUCUGGUCUCCACUAGUAUGGAUAAAGCAGAGAUUACUUUCUUCUAGCCAUAUCAAUUCAUGGGUGAUGGGCGCUGUGACAGGCUAAAUGUGAAGUUGGUUAGAGAGGAAAACAAAGGGCUGGAGGGGGAGGCACACGGAGUGCUGAGGGACGGGAGAAGAGGUGUACAGAGGGCUAUGGGGACAAAUAGACACAUAGAGAUGCUGAGGAGGACAAAGAGACACACAGAGGGAGCGGUGUUGCUUUGUAGCAUUGUAUUUGUGCGUAUGUGGGCUGUUAUAUAAGUUCAUGAGUAGUUUUUGGUAUUGUGUAUGAUACCAAUGAAUGAGGGCUGUGUAUGGGGGUUGCUUGUUGAAUUUUGUUUGUGGAUGAAAUGUCACAUAGUGUGUUUGGUGAUGUGUGUAUUUGUGGGGCUACAUAUGGUAUUGCAUGUGAGAGGCUGCUUGCGGGGUUGUGUGCGUGUAUGUGGAUUGUCAGUGGUGUUGUGUUUGUGGAGACUGUGUGUGUGUUUGUGUGUGGGCUGUUUGUAUGAGAGGAAGUUUAUUAUGCAGCUCUGUGUAUAUAUAGUAGCAUGGGUUGCUUCCAUUGGGUCCAGUGGGUACCAGGUUAGCCAUGUACAGGUCAAGGGCAGCAGCUGCAGGUUGCUAUACUCAAGUGAGGAAUACUGUUCACAAGUGCGGGGAGCUAAGUGCUGCAAUGUGUAAAUUGAGUAUUGUCCCUCACCAUCUGCAAUCACUGCUCGGGUUGUACUGGCAGAUAUCUGAAGUCCCACUGGUAUCCUGAUAGGCCAGAGCCUAUUUGGCUCUGACAGCCUUGAGUGCCUUGUAAAGUCACCUGUGCCAUAGGUUCCUGACCCCUGCACUAGAGCAUGCACUUAAUUUAAAGCAUUUUUUGGCUAUGAUGCACUUAAAUUGUUAAUAAGUGUAACACUAUUUGUGGGUUUUAUUUAUGACAUUUCCUUGAUUAAUUAUAUCAAAAUAUAUGUCUAUGCAACUAUUGUCAUAAUUAGGGAAAUAGUCUUUACAGAGUGACCACUCUUUUUCGGCACAGAGGAAUAAUGAAUAAACCUUAUUUCUACGUGAAAACUCCUAUACCUGAGUUAACAGAAUAGUGUAUGUUUUCAUGUGCGUGAUACAAAGAACAAUGCAAACACUUAUCCUUAUCUCAUAUGUGCAUGUAGAAUUGACAAAAAAUGAAUUUGUAUUUGGACAUUUUAGACAAAGUUCGCCAAAUAUAAAAAGUUGUCCGACUCCACUUUUCUUCCAGCUCAGAUAUUUUGCUCUGAAAUGUGCAAUUUACCAGUCAUGAUAAUUCACGGUUUAGUACGUAAUGAUGUGGAGAUUAGUGACUAUGGUGAUACAGAUCUCUCCUCCAGUGGCGUACACAUGACCCAUGGAGCCCCGGUGUGAAAAUUGUUCCGUGCCCCCACCCGGCGCUUACUCUGGCAGCUUGCACCUUACUCAUGGUGGCGGGCACCUGGUGGCAGGGGUUGCAGGGCUACGACCCCUGCAACCGCGGUAUGUAUGCCAGUGCAUGCAGAUGCACACACACUUAAAGGACCACUACAGACACCCAGAUCACAUCAGCUCAAUGAAGUGGUCUGGGUGCCAGGUCCCUCUAGUUUUAACCCUGCAGCUGAAAACAUAGCAGUUUCAGAGAAACUGCUAUGCUUAACUGAGGGUUAAUCCAGCCUCUAGUGGCUGUCUCAUUGACAGCCGCUAGAGGAGCUUCCGCGAUUCUAAGAAACUGAACGUCUAUAGGAAAGCAUUGAGUAAUGAAGCUGAGAGGUGGAGGGAUCCCCACCGCCAAGGGAGUCUGGCGCUGGAGAAAGGUAAGUACUGAAGACACAGACACACUCUCACGAACAGACGCAUACACACUAGCUAACAGACACACACAUUUACUGACAGAGACACACUCGGCGACAGACAUACAUACACACUCACUUACAAAACAUACACUCUCACUGACAAACACACACUCACUAACAGACAUCAAACAGACUCACUAACAGACUCACUAACAGACACACACAAACACACUCAGUAACAGACACAUAGUAACCCACUCACUGACACUCACUAGCAGACACACACUCAAUAACAGACACACUCACUGACACUCACUAGUAGACACACACAUUAACACACACACACUAACACUAACAAACACACACACUAACACUAACACACACACUAACACACAUUAACAAUAACACACACACAAACACACACACACACUAACACACACACUCACACACACUAACACUAACACAUGUUUUUUUUUUUAAAAUGUAAUCCCCCAGCCUCCUUACCUUUUGGAGUGCUGAGGGGAUUCCCUGGGGUCCAGUGGUGCUGCUGGGCUCCUGGGCGGCCGGUCACCGGGCGGGCAGGCUGGCUGGCGGGUGCGCGAGGGAGCACUCUCCCCUGAGUGCUUCCUCUUCAGCGCCCUCGCGCGCUACGUACUGAUGCCGGUCAUCUUCCGGCUCCGGUAUCAGUGCGGUGCGCGAGGGAGCUGAAGAGGAAGCACUCAGGGGAGAGUGGUCCCUCGUGCGCCCGCCAGCCAGCCUGCCCGCCUGGUGAUAACAGGGUCAGCCUCGGGGGGCCCUGAGAUGGUCAACUCCUGGGCCCCCCAGGAGAAGAGGCUGGCCCAGUGGGUACAUACCUAGGUCGCAGGGCGGCCGGGCCCCUUGGUGGGCAAGGCCUGGUCGCAGCCGCGACCCCUGCGACCCCGGUAUGUACGCCACUGCUCUACUCAAAACUUAGGUCUACUACUUUGUUUUUUUAUAUUAUUACAAUGGCUCAGUAGCAAGUUAUUUUAUACUUGCUCCCAUGUGGUCUUGUGGGACAGUUUUGAAAAGAAUCUGGUACACAUUCAGUGAACACAUUUUACUGUGUUUAUUGACAGAUAUUUUAUUUGACCUGGGCUUGGAAUAGCCACAUUGUAGCCAUUUAACGUUCAUAGAAUUGCUACGAUAGCAUUCUCAAACAGUCUAGAACCAUGGUUCAAACUUUCCAGCAGAAGAAUAAAUGGUAAUCAGCAUGAAGAUCUGUAAUGCGUAGCAUUAAUGGGCAUGGCCAUUAGUGUAUAGUAGAGAUAUCCUCUCCCAUUCGACAUUUAGUAAUGAUGACUAAUAAUAAAUAUAGAAUGUAUGCGUCUCUUGGAUUAAUAAUAACAAAUAAAUAGAUUUGCUUGCACAGCUGGAACACAUAUGAAUAAGGUUAACAAACUCCCGUGUCAAGCCCUAUAAAAAGUUCAAGAGCCACUAGCAUUUAAAAAUAACAUUUGGUUCGUUUAUAGGAGCAAAAGUUAUUUUUAAACUGUCCUUAGAGCUUGGAUAUAAUGCCAUAUAUUUUUACAAACACAUGAUAAAUGUUUUACUCUCAGUACAGCUUGCACUAAUGCUCCUAGAUGCACGUAAUGUACUGUAGCAAGCCAAACAUGUAUAUUCAAAAAAGAUUAAGAUCUGGAUUAUUUGUGUACCACUGCAUAUGGUUCUUGUUCUCUUCGCUAGGAUGCAAUAUAUGCCUGCCAUGCCUCACUAUCCAUUGAAUUUUACCCCUCUAUGUUCUGUAUGCUCUGCAUCAACUGGUCUUUAAUCUAUAUUUACAGCCUUCUCAUAGGUGCAUAUGUGACAAUCACCGUCUGUCAAAUAAACAAGUCAGGCCUAUACAGUCUGCAGCAACACCCAUGCUAUGUCAGAUAGAAGGUCGGUGUGACCACUAGAUGUAUUAGACAGGUGCUUAGGGUGCACCGGCCCGGGUGCACAGUCUUUGGGUGACCAGAAGGAGUAGAGCAAAUAGCACUGCUUGCAGCUUGCAGUGUGCACUCUCUAUACUACCUCACUUUUUUAAAGGGUACUGUAAAACCCAUCUCCACAGUCCAUUACAGAAUAAUCAAAAACAGAUGGUCCAACACACCUUUCCACAUCAGUCAAAUUCUUUUAAAGACAAUGAUUCAGCCUUACCCCGUGCCUUUUAAGAGAGAAUGUUUCAGCCUUACUCCACGGUUUUCUAAACAUAAAGUUUUUGAAGUAAGGCUGAAAUGUUGUCUUUACCCCUGUCCUAAUAUAACUAUUGUACUGACUUGAAAAGUUGCACUGGACCAUAUGUAUUUAUUAUUAUUAUUAUUAUUAUGCUAUUUAUAUAGCGCCAUCAAAUUCUGCAGUGCUUUAUAAUGGGUGGACGAACAGACAUGUAGUUGUAACCAGACAAGUUGGACACACAGGAACAGAGGGGUUGAGGGCCCUGCUCAAUGAGCUUACAUGCUAGAGGGAGUGGGGUAAAAUGACACAAAAAGGUAAGGAUAGUAUUAGACUAGUGACAGUUGCAGAAGAGGAAUCAGUCAGGAGCUAUUAACUGUUUAAUUGAUAUGCUUUUAUGAAGAAGUGGGUUUUUAACGAUUUUUUGAAGGAGUGGAAACUGGGUGAGCAUCUAACGGAGGAGGGAAACGAGUUCCACAGGAACGGUGCAGCCCUCGAGAAAUCUUGAAGGCAAGCAUCAGAGGUGGGAGUACGGACAGAAGAUAGACGUAAGUCUUCAGCAGAUCGUAAGGGCCUAGACGGGACAUACUUGUGUAUAAGGGAGGAUAGCUAGGUGGGAGCAGCAUUAUGUAGCAAUUUGAAAGCAAGAACCAGAAUUUUAAAUUGAGAUCUAUGUUUUAUAGGAAGCCAAUGGAGGGACCGACAGAAGGGUGAGGCAUGCGAGGUGUGGGCAGACUGG
rnacentral:lncRNA from 1 species